CCCCCCUCCCUAGUCCAAUUCGGACUAGCCCAUGGGGAGGGGUGCGGCCACCCUUUGGGGCCUUUCUCUCCUUUCCCGUAUGGCCCAUUAAGGCCCAAUACGAAUUCCCGUAACUCUCCGGUACUCCGAAAAAUACCCGAAUCACUCGGAACCUUUCCGAAGUCCGAAUAUAGUCAUCCAAUAUAUCAAUAUUUACGUCUCGGCCAUUUCGAGACUCCUCGUCAUGUCCCCGAUCUCAUCCGGGACUCCGAACUCCUUCGGUACAUCAACAUACAUAAACUCAUAAUAAAACUGUCAUCGUAACGUUAAGCGUGCGGACCCUACGGGUUCGAGAACUAUGUAGACAUGACCGAGACACCUCUCCGGUCAAUAACCAAUAGCGGAACCUGGAUGCUCAUAUUGGCUCCCACAUAUUCUACGAAGAUCUUUAUCGGUCAAACCGCAUAACAACAUACGUUGUUCCCUUUGUCAUCGGUAUGUUACUUGCCCGAGAUUCGAUCGUCGGUAUCUCGAUACCUACUUCAAUCUCGUUACCGGCAAGUCUCUUUAGUCGUUCCAUAAUACAUCAUCCCGCAACUAACUCAUUAGUCACAAUGCUUGCAAGGCUUAUAGUGAUGUGCAUUACCGAGUGGGCCCAGAGAUACCUCUCCGACAAUCGGAGUGACAAAUCCUAAUCUCGAAAUACGCCAACCCAACAAGUACCUUUGGAGACACCUAUAGAGUACCUUCAUAAUCACCCAUUUACGUUGUGACGUUUGGUAGCACACAAAGUGUUCCUCCGGUAAACGGGAGUUGCAUAAUCUCAUAGUCAUAGGAACAUGUAUAAGUCAUGAAGAAAGCAAUAGCAACAUACUAAACGAUCGGGUGCUAAGCUAACGGAAUGGGUCAAGUCAAUCAUGUCAUUCUCCUAAUGAGGUGAUCCCGUUAAUCAAAUGACAACUCAUGUCUAUGGCUAGGAAACAUAACCAUCUUUGAUUAACAAGCUAGUCAAGUAGAGGCAUACUACUGACACUCUGUUUGUCUAUGUAUUCACACAUGUAUUAUGUUUCCGGUUAAUACAAUUCUAGCAUGAAUAAUAAACAUUUAUCAUGAUAUAAGGAAAUAAAUAAUACUUUAUUAUUGCCUCUAGGGCAUAUUUCCUUCACUAGCUCCAGUGACCGUACGAUGUCCAUCCAACGGCCGUAGUGCUUCUUCAACCUCUGGUCUUCUUGCUCCAGCCGCCCAAAGCAGCGCCGGUCGUGCCGCAUGCUCCUGCCUCCCGUGGUCGGCUGUGCUGCCGUGGAGGCCUCAGCGCCCCCUACUAUUCCCACCGCUGGCCAGGCCCUGCGGCGACGACAGCCUCACACCGCAGCCGAACUAGUGAACCCUCGUACUCCUCUCCGCGCGGGCUUACACUGCUGCGUCUUCCCCGCCUCCGCGUCGUCCCCUUCCUAGGCCUCACCGUCGUCCACCGCCGUGGUGCUCUCCGCGCGGCGUGGUCAACGUGGUCAAGGAACGACUUCCAUCGGAAGAGUACUGUACGUGGAGAGGCUGACAGCUGGGUCCACGGCCACAACCCAGUUUUUUUGUGAUUUGCCAAGUAAGUCGCUUUGCCAGGCCUGUUGGGCUGCAAAUCUUUCAAGACGAGGAGAGCUUUCAUUCGGCUGGCCGAGAAAAUGGCCCAUCAGUAAUGAGAAAUGGGCUGUACAUUUUUAAAACACAUCAAACCGGCAAUUAGUUUCAAAUAUCUUUUUUUUCAUUUCGAGAUGUUAAAUUACAUUAAUUUUUAUGCGUGGAGAAUUUGUUGGAUUUUAUAUUGAUAUACAUUUAUUUUUAAAAUCAGUUUGAAUGUGAGUCAAAAUUUCGGGAUUAAAAACAGUUCGGACCGCACCGAAAUAUGCAAAAUUUCGUAUAAUUUUUUAACCGUGGCCACAAUAUGGGCUGUAAUGCUAACAAAAAGAAUAUGGGCUCCAAAAAAACUUUAAUAAUUAGCAAAUGGGCUGUAAAUUAUUAUAAAUAAUGGCAGAUAGGUUGUAUGCUAUUUUCCACAGAUUUGAGGCUUUCCUAAAAAAAGGUUGACGCACAAGCAGUGACUGUUGGAUGGCCAUCCAACGGCCGUCGUGCUUCUUCAAUCUCUGCUCUUCCUCCUCCAGCCGCUCAAACAAGCGCCAGCGGGACUGCCUGCUCCCUCCUCCCCGCGGCCGGCUCUGCUGCCGCGCAGGCCUCACCGCCCCACCAUACUCCCAUCGCUGGCCUAGCCAUCCCUCUACUCACCCACACCUGCUGUUAUUCUCCGGCGACGGCAGACGAACCAGUAAACCCUCGUACAGUCGUGCUCCCCUCCGCGUGGGAAACAACUGCUGAGUCUUCCCUGCCUCCGUGUCAUUCCCUUCCUAGGCCUCGCCGUCAUCCACCGCCCUGGUGCUCUCGGCGCGGCCUGGUCAACGUGGUCAACGACCGACAUGCAUCUGAAGUGGACUGUACGUGGAGAGGCCGAUAGCUGGGUCCACCGCCGCACGUAAGGAAAUGCCUCCUUAUUACGCGCAAAAUAAUGAUUCCUCCACCUGACAUCAGGGACCCACCGAAAGGGCCUCUGUAUUUCGCGAAAAAAUGUUACCGCCGCUGACAGCUCGGACCCACCAGCUAUAUCUCCGCACGCAAGGAAGUGCGUCCUUAUUACGCACAAAAAAAUGAACACUCCCCCUGCUAGCUGGGACCCAGUAUAGUGGCAGGCUGACUUGUGGGCCUACUAAGUUGACUGGGACAGGGGCCUUUGUCAACUUUAGUCAAUAUGAACGAUUCUAGCUCCAGUGACCGUACGAUGUCCAGCCAACGGCCGUAGUGCUUCUUCAACCUCUGGUCUUCUUGCUCCAGCCGCCCAAAGCAGCGCCGGUCGUGCCGCAUGCUCCUGCCUCCCGUAGCCGGCUGUGCUGCCGCGGAGGCCUCACCGCCCCUACUAUUCCCACCGCUGGCCAGGCCCUGCGGCGACGGCAGCCUCACACCGUAGCCGAACCAGUGAACCCUCGUACUCCUCUCAGCGCGGGCUUCCACUGCCGUGUCUUCCCCGACUCCCCGUCGUCCCCUUCCUAGGCCUCGCCGUCGUCCACCGCCCUGGUGCUCUCGGUGCGGCGUGGUCAACGUGGUCAAGGAACGACUUCCAUCGGACGUGUACUGUACGUGGAGAGGCUGACAGCUGGGUCCACGGCCGCAGUAAGGAAGUGCCUCCUUAUUACCGGGAAAAUAAUGAUUCCUCCACCUGACAGCUGGGACCCACCGGACGGGCCACUGUAUUUCGCGAAAAAACAUUUCCCCCUAAUUGCUGGGACCCACCAGCUACAUCUUCGCAUGCAAGGAAGUGCGUCCGGGAAAAAAAAUGAUUCGCCCCCUGACUGCUGGGACCCACCAGCUACAUCUUCGCAGGCAAGGAAGUGCCUGACAGUCGGGACCCACCUGGUCGAAGCGUACGUAGCGUUGUCAUUCUGGUCGCGAACGUGUACGUACAUAUAUACUAGUGGAUGUAGAGGCGCGCACGUGUCGUAGUAUAGGCGCGUACGUGUCGUAGUAGAGGCGCGCACGUAGCAUGUACACGUACAUACAGCAGCCAGGGUGCAAGAAAGAAAAUACGGCCACGUAUGUGUACAUAAGGGCGGGGUCUCGAAUGCCUACUCGCGCAUACGUACGGCCAGGGCUCGUGUACAUGGCUGGGUCGGAAUGGAGAAACAGCGUCGUCGUCGUGUUCAUGGGGAGGCAACGGAAUGCGUCGUGUUUAUGGGGAGGCAACGGAAUGCGUCGUGUACAUCGGGAGGCAACGGAACGCGUGGGAGCCAAUUGGCUGGGUCGGAACGGAAUGCGUGGGCGUGUUCAUCGGGAGGGCUUGGACGGAACAGGCGAUGGAAACGAGGCCUAGCGUACCGCACAACGGAGGAAACAGACCUCCUACGUUCGGAACGGGGUCCUGUUGAUCGGGAGGGGUGUGGCGUACCGCAAAAUGGAGGAAACGGACCUCCUACGGUCGAAACGUGGGUCCUGUUGAUCGGGAGGGGUGUGGCGUACCGCAAAACGGACGAAACGGACCUCCUACGGUCGAAACAGGGGUCCUGUUGAUCUGGAGGGGUGUGGCGUACCAGAAAACGGAUGAAACGGACCUCCUACGGUCGAAACGGGGGUCCUGUUCAUCGGGAGGGGUGUAGCGUACCACAAAACGGGACUCCACGGGAUACUGUUCAUCUCCACCGUCGACCUCCUCCAGCCUCCACGGGCUACCGUCGACCUCCUCCAGCCUCCACGGGCUCCUGUUCAUCCAGCCUCCACCGCGCGCUACUCCACCGGCUACUGUUCAACCACCCCUCCACGGGCACCCCUCCACCAUCUACUGUUCAUCUAGCCAUCCACACCACGGGGUCCUGUUCAACCACCCCUCCACGGGCACCCCUCCACCGUCUACUAUUCAUCCAGCCCUCCACCACACCACGGGGUCCUGUUCAUCCAGAGGCAACGCCACCACUCACUGUUCAUCCAAACCCCCCGCAACACUCACUAUUCAUCCCAGAGACAGCAUCGAUCGGCUUCAGUUAGCAGCAGUAGCGAAGGAAUCGCUCGAUCGGGUUCAGUUAACAGCCAUCGAUCUUUUGCUCGGGUUCAGUAACGCGUAGCCUGCAGUGCAAUCACUCGGGUUCAGUUAGAGCCCAACGCCUCGCUCGGGUUCUGUUAGAGCCAACGCCUCGCACACACGCGCGUACGUGUACGAGAGAAAAGCGCAUCGCUCGGCCCCCGACCUCCCACCGUAACCGGGAACUGCCCGAAAUUUUCCUCGCCCUCGCUUCUACCACGGUUUUUUCCGUCAUGGACGGCCCAAAGAAUGUCAUGCAGCUGCGUCUCCGGCCUGCCCAGGACGAAAAGCCCAUUUUCUGUCAUGAUUUUUUGUCAUAGAAGUAGGAGCCCACCACAUCUAUGAUGAUACUGGGUUUUGUCACAAUUAUCGUCAUAGAAGUGUCAUAUGUAUGACAGAAAAAAAUUCGUUCGGCCCAAAAUGUCACGGAUGUGUCUUUUUUUGUAGUGAGGCUAGCAAAAGACUGGGAAGCGACCAACUAGAGAGCGACAACAGUCAUGAACAUGCAUUAAAAUUAAUAGACAUUGAGUACGAGCAUGAGUAGGAUAUAAUCCACCAUGAACAUAAAUAUCGUGAAGGCUAUGUUGAUUUGUUUCAACUACAUGUGUGAACAUGUGCCAAGUCGAGUCACUUAAAUCAUUCAAAGGAGGAUACCACCCCACUAUACCACAUCACAACCAUUUUAAUAGCAUGUUGGCACGCAAGGUAAACCAUUAUAACUCAUAGCUAAUCAAGCAUGGCAUAAGCAAUUAUGAUCUCUAAUUGUUAUUGCAAACAUGUUUAUUCAUAAUAGGCUGAAUCAGGAACGAUGAACUCAUCAUAUUUACAAAAACAAGAGAGGUCGAGUUCAUACCAGCUUCUCGCAUCUCAGUCAGGCCAUCAUAUAUCGUCAUAAUUGCCUUUCACUUGCACGACCGAACGAUAUAAAAAUAAUAAGAGUGCCCGUGCAUUGGACUAAGCUGGAAUCUGCGAGCAUUCAAUAAACAGGAGAAAACAAGGCAAUAUGGGCUCUUGGUUAAAUCAACAAUAAUGCAUAUAAGAGCCACUUCAACAAUUUAAUUAUGGUCUUCUCCUAUCGACCCCCAAAGAAAAGAAAAGAAAUAAAACUAUUUACACGGGAAAGCUCCCAACAAGCAAAAGAAGAACGGGAAAUCUUUUUGGGUUUUCUUUUUAAUUAUUACUACUACAACAAGAAAAAUAAACUAACUAAAAGCUGAACUAAUUUUUUUGGUUUUUCUUAAGGUUUCUUAAACACACAAGAAGAAAGCAAGAAAAAAAAACAAACUAGCAUGGAUAUUACAGUGAAAAAGUAUGAGCACCGACAUCUAGCAAUGAGUGUGUGAACAUAAAUGUAAUGUCGAUGGGAAAUACGUACUCCCCCAAGCUUAGGAUUUUGGCCUAAGUUGGUUUAUUGCCACGGAUGGCCUGGCGGAUAUCCAUAGUUGUAGCUGGGGUCGUACUGAGCUGCGGCAGUUAUUGCCUCUUGAGCUGCAGCGUGGCGGCGAGCUGCCUCCGCCCUCCUCUCAUACUCAUCUGCCUCCUCUCUGGUAAAAACAUAUCUUCCUUUUGCCUCCCCACAAAGGAACUAGUGAGAUAGUGGUAUUGGCUGCACUUCUCUGCCUCAAAGCUCACAAGAUCAGCGUUACACAAAUAUGCGUUAAAUUCUUCCUUGAUUCCCGCUCGAUCCAUAAAGUUUUCUGAAGGCCAUUCACAAGGCCGCACUGGAGCGUCCCUUGGUGGCUCAUCGUCAGCAUCACGCAUUGCAAGCCUAGGUCCUUGCUUCCUUGAAGAACCACCUUGGAACAUUUUCCUAGCAUAUUUCUUCCUUUGAAAAAUUUCCGAAAUUUUUAGUAACUUCAAAAUAAAGUCAACCAAGCUCAAUAAAAUUGAUAGCAACUACUCCUACAAGUGCCUAGAGCCUAUAUCAAGCAUUAGAACUACUUGGAACCAUAUAAAUUUGACAUGCAAGCUCAAGAACAUGGUCACCUAGGCAGCACAAAUUUGCAAUGAAUAGAGCACUAGAACAAAAACUAAUUGGACCAAUGGAGGAGUCACAUACCAAGGAACAAUCCCCCCAAGCAGUUUUGUGAGAGGUGCUUUGAGCAAGGAGAUCGAAAAUCGCAGCAAAAUGAGCUAGAACUCGUGCUUGAGCUGGAUAUUGGUGUUUGUGGGAGGAAGGAGAAGUGUGUGGGUGCAGGAAUAAGUGGAGGGGGGCCACCGUGGGCCCACGAGGCAGGGGGCGCGCCCAGGGGGGUAGGGCGCGCCCUCCACCCUCGUGGCCAGGUGCUUGCCCCUCCUGCUGUGUUCUCAGUGCCAGAUAUUCGAAAAAAUUCUAGAAAAAAAUCAUAUUCCAUUUUCAGGGCAUUUGGAGAACUUUUAUUAUCGGGGUAUUUUUAUAUUGCACGGAUAAAUCAGAAAACAGAUAGAAAAAUAGUAAUUUUACUUUAUUUCAACUAAAUAACAGAAAGUAGAAGGAGGGUACAGAAGGUUGUGCCUUCUAGUUUCAUCCAUCUCAUGCUCAUCAAAAGGAAUCCACUAACAAGGUUGAUCAGGUCUUGUUAACAAACUCAUUCCGAAUAACAUGGAACCGGAGAAAUUUCGAAUAACACUAUGUUACCUCAACGGGGAUAUGCACAUCCCCUAUAAUAAGAAUAUCAUAUUUCUUCUUGACAGUAGGUAGAGGAAAUUCAAAACCUCCAAAAAUAAUCGAUGGAGUUUUUCCAAUAGAAUUGAUACUGUGGACCUGAGGUUGUUUCCUCGGAAAGUGUACCGUAUGCUCAUUACCAUUAACAUGAAAAGUGACAUUGCCUUUGUUGUAAUCAAUAACAGCCCCUGCAGUAUUCACAAAAGGUCUUCCAAGAAUAAUAGACAUACUAUCGUCCUCGGGAAUAUCAAGAAUAACAAAGUCCGUUAAAAUAGUAAUGUUUGCAACCACAACAGGCACGUCCUCAAAAAUACCGACAGGUAUAGCAGUUGAUUUAUCAGCCAUUUGCAAAGAUAUUUCAGUAGGUGUCAACUUAUUCAAAUCAAGUCUACGAUAUAAAGAGAGAGGCAUAACACUAACACCGGCUCCAAGAUCACAUAAAGUAGUUUUAACAUAGUUUCUUUUAAUGGAGCAUGGUAUAGUGGUACUCCUGGAUCUCCAAGUUUCUUUGGUAUUCCACCCUUAAAAGUAUAAUUAGCAUGCAUGGUGGAAAUCUCAGCUUCCGGUAUCUUUCUUUUAGUUGUAACAAUAUCUUUCAUAUACUUAGCAUAAGGAUUCAUUUUGAGCAUAUCAGUUAAUCGCAUACGCAAAAAGAUAGGUCUAAUCAUUUCAGCAAAGCGCUCAAAAUCCUCAUCAUCCUUUUUCUUGGAUGGUUUGGGAGGGAAAGGCAUGGGUUUCUGAACCCAUGGUUCCCUUUCUUUACCGUGUUUCCUAGCAACAAAGUCUCUCUUAUCAUAACGUUGAUUCUUUGAUUGCGGGUUAUCAAGAUCAACAGCAGGAUCAAUUUCUACAUCAUUAUCAUUACUAGGUUGAGCAUCAUCAUAAACAUCAUCAUUAGCAUUUUCAUUAAGUUCAUGUUCAUUACCAGAUUGUGUUUUAGCAUCAGAAAUAGAAAUAUCAUUUGGAUUCUCAGGUGGUUUAGCAAUAGGUUCACUAGAAGCAUGCAAAGUCCUAUCAUUUCUCGUUUUCUUCUUUUUUAGAAGAACUAGGUGCAUCAAUAUUAUUUCUCUGAGAAUCUUUCUUAAUUCUCUUGGGGUGGCCUUCUAGAUACAGAGGUUCCUGAGUCAUUUUACCAGUUCUAGUAGCCACUCUAACAGCAUAAUCAUUUUUCUUACUAUUCAUUUCAUUGAGCAAAUCAUUUUGAGCUUUAAUUACUUGUUCUACUUGAGUGGUAACCAUAGAAGCAUGUUUGCUAAUGAGUUUAAGUUCACCUUUAACAUUAGCCAUGUAAUUACUCAAGUGUUCAAGCAUAUCGGAAUUGUAUUUCAAUUGUCUACCAAAAUAAGCAUUGAAGUUUUCUUGUUUGACAAUAAAAUUAUCAAACUCUUCUAAGCAUUGUCUAGCAGACUUAUAGUGAGGAAUAUCACCUUCAUCAAAUCUAUAGAGAGAAUUUACCUUUACUACCUGUGUUGGGUUAUCAAGACCAUGAGUUUCUUCAAUAAGUGGUGGUUUAAGAUCAUAUGUUUCUUCAACAGGCGGUAAAUUAAGACCAUGUAUUUCUUCAAUAGGAGGUAAAUUCUUAACAUCUUUAGCUUUAAUACCCUUUUCUUUCAUAGAUUUCUUUGCCUCUUGCAUAUCUUCAGGACUGAGAAAUAGAACACCUCUUUUCUUCGGAGUUGGUUUAGGAAUAGGCUCAGGAACUGGCUCAGGAAGUGUCCAAUUAUUUUCAUUUGUCAACAUAUUAUUCAAUAGAAUUUCAGCUUCAUCCGGUGUUCUUUCCCUGAAAACAAAACCAGCACAACUAUCCAGGUAAUCUCUAGAAGCAUCAGUUAGUCCAUUAUAAAAGAUAUCAAGUAUUUCAUUUUUCUUGAGAGGAUGAUCAGGCAAAGCAUUAAGUAACUUGAGAAGCCUCCCCCAAGCUUGUGGGAGACUCUCUUCUUCAAUUUGCACAAAGUUGUAUAUUUCCCUCAAAGCAGCUUGUUUCUUAUGAGCAGGGAAAUAUUUAGCAGAGAAGUAAUAAAUCAUAUCCUGGGGACUAUGCACAGAACGAGGAUCAAGAGAAUUAAACCAUAUCUUAGAAUCACCCUUUAAUGAGAACGGAAAUAUUUUAAGGAUAUAAAGAUAGCGAGAUCUCUCAUCACUAGUGAACAGGGUGGCUAUAUCAUUUAAUUUAGUAAGAUGUGCCACAACAGUUUCAGAUUCAUAGCCAUGAAAAGGAUCGGAUUCAACCAAAGUAAUUAUAUCAGGAUCAACAGAGAAUUCAUAAUCCUUAUCAGUAACACAGAUAGGUGAAGUAGCAAAAGCAGGGUUAGGUUUCAUUCUAUCAUUAAGAGAUUGCUGCUUCCAUUUAGCUAAUAACCUCUUGAGUUCAUAUCUAUCUUUGCAAGCUAAAAUAGCUAAAGUAGCUUCUUUAUCAAAAACAUAACCCUCAGGAAUAACAGGCAAGUCUUCAUCAUCACUUUCAUCAAUAUAAUCAGUUUCAAUAUUUUCUUUCUCUCUAGCCCUAGCAAUUUGUUCAUCAAGAAAUUCACCAAGUGGCACAGUAGUAUCAAGCAUAGAAGUAGUCUCAUCAUAAGUAUAAUGCAUAGCAGAAGUGGCAUCAUCAAUAACAUGUGACAUAUCAGAACGAAUAGCAGAAGCAGGUUUAGGUGUAGCAAGCUUACUCAAAACAGAAGGUGAAUCAAGUGCAGAGCUAGAUGGCAGUUCCUUACCUCCCCUCGUAGUUUUGAGGGAUAAAUUGUUGUCUUAUCGUCCUUCAAGUUCUUCAUAGUGACCAGCAGAUAUAAAUCCCAAGUGACUCAAAGAAUAGAGCUAUGCUCCCCGGCAACGGCACCAGAAAAUAGUCUUGAUAACCCACAAGUAUAGGGGAUCACAACAGUUUUCGAGGGUAGAGUAUUCAGCCCAAAUUUAUUGAUUCGACACAAGGGGAGCCAAAGAAUAUUCUCAAGUAUUAGUAGUUGAGUUGUCAAUUCAACCACACCUGGAUAACUUAGUAUCUGCAGCAAAGUAUGUAGUAGCAAAGUAGUAUGGAAGUAACGGUAACGGUUGCAAAAGUAAUAUUUUUGGAUUUUCUAGUGAUUGUAACAGUAGCAACGGAAAAGUAAAUAAGCGAAGAACAAUAUGUGAAAAGCUCAUAGGCAUUGGAUCGGUGAUGGAGAAUUAUGCCGGAUGUGGUUCAUCAUGUAACAAUCAUAACAUAGGGUGACACAGAACUAGCUCCAAUUCAUCAAUGUAAUGUAGGCAUGUAUUCCGAAUAUAGUCAUACGUGCUUAUGGAAAAGAACUUGCAUGACAUAUUUUGUCCUACCCUCCCGUGGCAGCGGGGUCCUAAUGGAAACUAAGGGAUAUUAAGGCCUCCUUUUAAUAGAGUACCGGACCAAAGCAUUAACACAUAGUGAAUACAUGAACUCCUCAAACUAUGGUCAUCACCGGGAGUGGUCCCGAUUAUUGUCACUUCGGGGUUGCCGGAUCAUAACACAUAGUAGGUGACUAUAGACUUGCAAGAUAGGAUCAAGAACUCACAUAUAUUCAUGAAAACAUAAUAGGUUCAGAUCUGAAAUCAUAGCACUCGGGCCCUAGUGACAAGCAUUAAGCAUAGCAAAGUCAUAGCAACAUCAAUCUCAGAACAUAGUGGAUACUAGGGAUCAAACCCUAACAAAACUAACUCGAUUACAUGAUAAAUCUCAUCCAACCCAUCACCGUCUAGCAAGCCUACGAUGGAAUUACUCACGCACGGCGGUGAGCAUCAUGAAAUUGGUGAUGGAGGAUGGUUGAUGAUGACGAUGGCGGCGGAUUCCCCUGUUCGGAGCCCCGAACGGACUCCAGAUUAGCCCUCCCGAGAGAGUUUAGGGCUUGGCGGCGGCUCCGUAUCGUAAAACUGAUGAAUCUUUCUCUCUGAUUUUUUCUCCCCAAACACAAAUAUAUGGAGUCGGAGUUGAGGUCGGUGGAGCUCCAGGGGGCCCACGAGGCAGGGGGCACGCCCCCCACCCUUGUGGCAAGGGUGUGGGCCCCCUGGCCUUGAUUCUUUCGCCAGUAUUUUUUAUUAUUUCCAAAAAUAAUCUCCGUGGAGUUUCAGAUCAUUCCAAGAACUUUCGUUUCUGCACAUAAAUAACACCAUGGCAAUUCUGCUGAAAACAGCGUCAGCCCGGGUUAGUUCCAUUCAAAUCGUGCAAGUUAGAGUCCAAAACAAGGGCAAAAGUGUUUGGAAAAGUAGAUACGAUGGAGACGUAUCAAGUAUCCGGACCUGUCACACACACACCAUACAUAACUGCAGAGAGAAUAUAAUUUACCACGAGUCCAAUCCGCUGACAUCUUUUUGUAGCACGACAUUACGUCUGACCGGUCAUAAUUCAAAACCAUUUUUUGUGUUCGCCGCUCCACGUCCCGAGAUGCGGUUGCCAUUGGCACGUCUUGUCAAAGUAGAGAUCGUGUCCCCUUAUCGUGGGAUUCUCAUCAAUGCGGGCAUGGGUAUCCCAACCGUGCCGUUUAUAUAGCCCUUGGGAAUAGGCAAGUUCUAAGGCGAGUGGGGAGGCGUUCAAUAUUCAUUGCCUUUAUAAGGGGAUAAGGAUUCCCUCUUCCUCUCCCACGCCUUUUCUCUAUCUUCGCCCUUCCAAUAUCGAGCUCCAGCGCCCAAGUUCUCAUCUCCUUUCCACUCGAGCUAGCACUCAACCAUGUCCGGAUCCGGAGGUCAGGGCAAGUUGAUGGUCUCCUCCGUCAAGGAGGAGGACAUUACUGAGCUUCGGGCGGCAGGAUACUUGGCGAAGGAAAUCGCCAACCGUCUGCCGGCCGAGGCACAAGUCGUUCCCACGCCGAAGCUCAACGGGAGGGUGGUAUUCAUCCCUCAUUUCUUCCGCGGACUAGGGUUCCCACUCCACCCUUUCGUCCGCGGGCUGAUGUAUUAUUACGGGAUAGAUUUCCACGAUUUGUCCCUGAACUCCUUCCUCAACAUCUUGGCGUUUAUCGUCGUGUGUGAGGCCUUCCUCCGCAUCCAACCCCACUUCGGGUUGUGGCUCAAAGUCUUCAACGUGAAGCCGAAGGUGGUGGAUGGUCAGCACGCGGAGUGCGGAGGAGCCAUGGUGAGCAAGUUGUCCAACGUCUCCUGGCCGAAAGGCACUUUUGUGGACACAGUAAAGGAGUGGUAGAAACAGUGGUUCUACAUCACAGAACCCCGCAGCACCACCUGGGCCGCAGCUGCCGAAUUCCGCUCCGGCGCUCCCAUGCGACUCACCUCCUAGGUCGAGAAGAGUCCGAACUGGUGUUCACCCGAUGAGCUGAUAGCGUUGCAGACGCACGUUCAAAGCAUGAUAGCCAAGAACGUCAACCUUGUCGAUGUAAUCCAGGUGAUGCUAGUUCGCCGGAUCCUCCCGUGCCAGCGCAGAAGUCACCCUCUGUGGGAGUUUAAUCCGAAGAAGCACCAAACCCUGGUGAGGCUCUUCAAAACCACUCACGAAGGUGCCUGGAAGUUGCUCGUUAAGGGCAACGAGAAACCGCCGGCCACUGAUUCAGACUGUGGGCACGACGUCAAACACCUCGCCAGCGAGGUAUGUCAUUUUUAACGUAUCCCCUACUUGUUUGUUUCGAGGAUGAUGUCUGAGCUUUUAUCAUUGCUUUUUCAGGAUUGGAUGGAGAGGGCGAAGCGGAUCUAGUGUCCGGCUCCGCUACCUGAAGAACUGGUCAUCCCACAUCUAGCGAAGAUGCUGGUGCCGGCACCAUAUAAGGCGUCGGAGAAGAAGGCCAAGAAGAAGGCCAAGGGGGCCAAAAGUGGCCCCUGUCCCAGGGGCGCUUCGGACAUGACGUCCGAAGACGAAGAAGCCCAUUCCUCCGUCCCUGAGGACGACGACGAGGAAGAGGAGGAGGAGGAGGAGAAGAACCCUCCCCCUGAGGAGGGAAAGAAGAAAAGGGGGGCUUCCAUGAAUCUGGAGGCGGGAACGCCCAAGAAGGGGAAGGGCUCCCUUGCGGUCAACACCGCGUGGGACGUUGACAGUAGUCCAGAGCGACGCCCCCAUACUAAACCUCGGGCCGCAUCGUAAGUACUAUGACUCACAUAUACCCGUAUACCCGGCCUCUCCUUUUUAUCGUUUUGACGUGGUUAAUUGUGUUAUUGCAGUCCGGCCCGUGAUAGCAUCCAGCGAUCCUCAUCUGGAGGUUCGUUGGAUCCGGCAGAAAUGGCCAGCAUGUCACCGCUGACCGCUUGUUCCCCCGAGGCCAAGGACGACACCGAAGUGUUGUCCCGGAGGACCGCUCCGAGCCGAGGAGGGGCCCAGGAUGCUAUCCAGGAGGCACCACAAGGCGAGACCUCCGCUGCCGGACACAUGGGGGAGCAAAUCCCCAUGGAAACUGGCGAGGAGGGACAUAUUCAGUUUGACCCUCAGCCGAAUACGAUUCCGGGGACCGAUACGGCCCCGGAAUCCGGUGCGCACCUUCCUUCGAAGGAGGGGGGUGCUCCUAUUCCACCGAUGGCCUCUGUCCAACCAGGGGCACCGGAUAACCUGAUGGAGGCGCUAUGAGGCGCCUCCAUUGUGGACGAGCACCGUGUCCUUAUGGGUACGGUGAUCGAGAAGGUUCAGUCUGUCAAGAGCGGACUAAACGAGGCCUGCAACAAUCUGUUGACAGGUUUUGAGGUAAGUCACGUAGAAAGAGAACACCCCGUGCUGACAGUUGCCCCUGAGACACUGUCCGGUGUUCGGAAAGAAAGGCCAGACAGAGGAUCAAUCCUUUGUAGGAGACUAACUUGAUAUGUAUGAAUAAGCAGGCGUCACUGUUGGCCGCGACCUCGCAUGCUGCUGAAGUCUCUGAACUGAAGCAGAGGUUGGAGCAGACCGAGAACGAGCUCGGCGAGGUGAAGAUUCAGCUCCACAAAAAGCAAGGUGAGUAGUGAUUUGCUGUGUAUUCGGAAAGAAUAGGCGGUGAGUAUUGACCGGAGUGUCAUAAUAUGUGUAGGGGCGGCGAGCGAGGUCGAGGCCCUAAAAAAUGCCCUGACCGAAGCCGAGGGGAAGGUUGUCCAGCAGCAAGCCGCCCAUAAGAAGCUCAAGACCCGGGUCAACGAGGUCCGGCAGGAGCUCCAGGACGCGGUGAAGAAGUGCGAAGCCUUGGAGUGCGAGGCGUCGGUUCGAGGGACCGAACUUACCAAGGUUCGCCAGAACACAGAGGCCGCACGGAAUGAGGCCCGGGACGCUCCCCGGGAGAUCCAGGAGGCCAACAAGAUCGCAGCGGGUAAGGCUUUUAACAUGCAAAGCAAGUAUGCGGAGAGGAAGUACCUUUUACUAACCCGGAUUCGGAGUUGCCCAGGGGCUUUUGCGGAUCUACCACGCAGCGUGUCCGAUGUUGCGGAGUUCUUCCGAGCCAGAGAAGGGAAUUCCACGGAGAAGCUAUUCUGGUCGCAGUAUGCUGUGCCAGAACAUCCGGUACCCUUUGCCGAUCAACUGAAACAGUUGGUCGAGCUGCACAGGGUGGCCGAACUGGCCAUGAAGGAUUUAAUAAUCCGGCUGUGGCCAGUCGAAGCUAUACCUAGCAGUUAUUUUGGCCUCAUGAAGCGGGUGGUGGAAGCCUGUCCGCGGCUAGACAUCGUCAAGCGAUCAGUCUGCAUCGAAGGUGCCCGCAUGGCCUUCACCCGUUGCAAGAUGUGGUGGGCGAAAAUGGACGCUGUCGAGGUGGCCAGGGGGGCGCCAGAGGGCAAGGAGCACCGCACACCCAAGCGAUAUUUUGCGGAUGUCCUAGAGGGGUCUCGACUUGCAGCGGCGUAGUGCGGGCAGGACAUUAUUUUUGAAUGAAUACAUUCGUGUUUUGUCUUUGCCUUGUAUGAUGAGAACAAAGCAUGUGUGUAAUAUAAUAUUUGUUAUGUUUUAAUUGUUUCCUCCUGUGCGGCCGUGUUGUAUGGAAUCUGAGGGUUGGCCAGUCGUCGGCUUCUGCCCUCACGUAGGUAGUAUGGAGGUGUUCAGGAUGGAAUCUAAACAAUCUUGAUCCAAUUAUAUGGUCCUUGAAGAAGUUGUUUAGCGCAACGAAGAGGCAAUCAGACUAUGCGGCUUAAACGCCCUCACUUAGCCAUGGGAGUUUUAUAAUAAAACAUGGGCGCAGCCCCUGGUAUACGAACCAGAGUGCUGUUAGCGUCUGAUCGGGAAGUACCGAUCCUUCGCGGAAUGCGGAAAAAAUCUCCAACGAUUUGUGACCUCCGAACAGCUGACCGGCUCUCGCCGCAUCAUGAUAGUCAGUUUUGGAUUUAUCUACUGAGGUGCUCAUCCGGUUUAGACCAGGGCACAAUCGCAGUAGUUCUCCCUUUACUACCCUAGCCGAUGUAGCAGAACGUAGGGUAGCAAGCACAGGAGCCGGGCAACCCAACUAUUGACCAAAGGCAUGAUUCAGAGCCAAUGCAUAUAAUGCUAAAUUCGGGGUGCCGAACUUAUCUAUAAGAAGUGUUCGCACUUUGUUGCCGUAUUAUGGGGUGAUGGGGAGCCCCUGGCGAAUAUGAAACGUACCAAAGUGCACGGGUGCGAGAAUAUAAGUAAUUAAUGGCAAAGUAAAACAGAAAGAGAGCAGAGGUAGUAUCUGGGGCCCCUUGACUUGGGUCGUGAACUGUUUCCAUUAUAGUUGGGUUAAUGCGUCAAAGCGCAUUUAUACAAAUAGUGCGAUAAGCAGCCGGCUAUUUAACAUGCCAUAACCAAAGGAGAGCUGCAUUUGGGUACUGAAAACAUGUAGAGUAAUCAUUGGAUUGUCCUCUAGAGCUUCCCCUGUAUGCUUGUGCUCUGUGCCAAUCUGGUGUACUUGUCCUUUGACAGGACCAGUAAUCAAGCCAUCGAAGGAGGCAUGUAUAAAAGAGAGCUGAAAGAAAAAGAAGAAAAAAGAAAAUAGUAAAGAUACAGGUGAGUCCGGGACCGGUGUAGCCGAACUGUGGACUACAAGCUUGUUGUGCCUCCGUCAAUGCCCAUGGGAUUUUGAGUGCGUAAUUAUGUACGCGUGUGUCGGAGUAAAUGGCCACGGGUAGCCUAACCGACUACCCCUGGCUCUUCAGGAAAUUUAUCAGGCCUUUGGGCCUUCAAGCACUCCAAGUAUUUGGGCCGCCUUCCCCGGCCGGCUACCACUAAAGCUGACUCCCGGAAGGCGACCCAGCCUCACCGACUCCUCCCAAGGACGACUGGGGCUGGCCGACUCCAAGAAGCCGGCCAAGAAGGACGCCGACUCCAAGGAGCCGACAAAGACCACAACCACUCCAACAUAACGGCGACGUGACGGGGUAUGGCCACAGUGCGGCCCACGACCCCCGAAGCCCGAGGCGGGCAUGGCUACAGGAGGCCGUACGGGAGGGACGUCUCCCGUGCGGCUCGGCACUGUAGCCACGCUAGCCUCGAUGUCAUCCACGACCCACUCCUGUACGGCCCAAGGACUGCGGGCCCCUUCAGCCAGAGAGAGGCGUGAAGGCGCCCCGGCUUUUCCUAGUCGGCCAAGAGUGUAGCCGGCCUCCAGAAGCUGGCUACCCCCUUCCUCGAAGCAGGAGCCCCAUUAAGGAGACAAGACGAGGUGAGGCUACAGUGAUAGCCCCCGAGGCGGCCCACUGUAGCCACGCUCACCUCGACAAAGCCCUCAUCAUCAGAGGCGCGGCUAUAGUAAGCAGCCGCCGACAAGACCCUAAGCGGUGGGACCGGCCUGUCGACCAAGUAGCCGGCAGCCGGCGGGACCCACCAGCCGGCGGGACCCAGCCGCCGGCGGAGAAGCCGGCGAGCGUAGACACUGACGGCUAGGGCCAGUUCCCAAUCGGAUUACCAUUGUACCCCCGGGGGGUAAGCCUAUAUAAACCCCCCGGAGCACCCAUGUAAAGGGUUCGCACCUCUGCAUGUUUGGCUUCCAAGCAUAGCACACACACACACACCAUAGAUAGAGAGAAGCAAGAGCUAGCCUUGUUCUUCUUCUCCCUUGAUCCCAACAGCUCUAGGAGCGAUUGUAGCUACCCUUUAUCGAUCUAGUGAUCAUGCGGAGACCCCGCAGAGCAGGACUAGGGGUGUUAUCUCCUCGGAGAGCCCCGAACCUGGGUAAGAUUCGCCGGCGUGCAUGUCUUCGCCUCAUCCCGUUUCCAGGCACCGGCGACGUUUUAUUGGCUCCCACAAUGAUAAGCCAUCCCUUGGCAUAUGUCGCACCAACCACCCGACAUUUGGCGCCCACCGUGGGGCCAGGUGCACCGUCGUCCGGAGACCUGUUCUGGACGGGAACCCUCUUCCUUCCUCGCGAGCGCAGCCAGCCUGCUGCGCCCGACGGCGUUUGCCCCGACGCGCUGCAAGGCGUCGACGACGCCUGCGCAGCGAGCCGUCUCGCCGAUCUGCUCGGCGAGACUCGCAUCUCCGAUGAGCCUACGUCCGACGCAGGCACCGACUACCCCGAGAGCCGCCUCGUCAGCCUCCUCGACCAGCUUCACGUCUCCAGCGAGCCUGCUGCGGACAUGGAGUCGGUCGGCUCCACCGACCCGAUGCUCAUCGACUCCGACACCGCGUCGCUCGACGCCUACCCCACCGAGGUGGUGGUCUUCGAUGACCCCCUCCCUCGAGCUGACAGCGGCAGCAGCACUGUCACUGAAGUGCUGGUCAUCAGCCACGUCUCCAACUCGGGCGAGAACGCCCGCGACGCUCAGCAAGCGGCGAUGCACGACCUCUCCGUCCCCAUCCCGGCCGACGCCGACGCCGAGACCCUGGAGGCACGCCGCCUUGCCCUUAUCGCGGAGGGCAAGAAGAUAGCCUCGAUGAGACGCCUCACCGAGGCCCACCAGCGCGAAGUCGACCGCGCUGCCUUCGGCACGCCGCCACCUAGCGGCCCGAGCCGGGCCGGCUUCGUCCAGAAGCGCAGCGCGGCCGUUGCCAGCAUGCUGGGCGCAGAUCGCCCCGUCUACGCCACCCCGCUCGAGAAUCUGCGAGCCGCUCAGGCGGCUGCAGAGGAGCUCAAUGGGCUGGGAGCCGAUGAGCUCCCCUACAUGACAAGGCGGAUCCAGCAGCUGAUCGACGCGGCUGCAGAACGGCACGAAGCCGGCGCCCGUGCUGAUAGUCAUCCCCCGCGCCGGGAGCACGCCGCAACAUCCCGCUCGCCGACUGCGAGCGGCGCGCGCCAGAAGAAAGACAAGGAGCCGGCUGCCAGCCGCAGCCGGACUCGCAUCACUAUCGAGCGCGACGCGGAUGGCCGCCCUCGGGCGGUUGAACACCAAGGAAACCUGCCUCCUCCCCCGCCUCGAGGAGAAAGACGCCUCACUCCGCCGCCCAUCACGCAUCCGACUCUUGGCGACCGACUCGGCCGCCGAGAAGGAGUCGGCGAGAGUGACGCCCGCCAUAGGAUCGACCGCCUUGCUCGAUCCUUGGCGUUAGAAGAAGAAGACGAUGUCGGCCCGCCAUGCUUUGGCCCCCGCAUCUGCGACGAGCCCUUCCCCAAAGGGUUCUCGCUCCCUAGAGACACACCCAAGUACAACGGCUCAGUGAAGCCGGAAGAUUGGCUCAUCGACUACUCUACAGCCGUCAGCAUCGCCAACGGCAAUCGGCGCGUCGCCGUGAAGUACGUCCCCUUGAUGCUGCAAGGCACGGCGCGCAUGUGGCUCAACAGCCUCAAGCCCUACAGCAUCAACAGCUGGCUGGACUUCACCGAAGUUUUCGUCCACAACUUCACCAGCACCUACAAGCGGCCUCCCAAGCCUCGCCAGCUCUCCCUCUGCGUCCAAGGGCCCAACGAGUCGACCCGCGACUACCUCACGCGAUGGGCCGAGCUCCGCAACUCCUGCGAGGGAGUGCACGAGGUCCAGGCCAUCGAAUACUUCACCGCCGGGUGCCGAGAGGGCACCCUCCUCAAGCACCGACUCCUCUGCGACGAGCCGGCUACCCUCGAUGAGUUGUUGAUCACCGCCGACAAGUAUGCCACUGCCGACUCCUCCAUGAAGACCGAGCUCCGAGUGGACGCCUCGGGGAAAGUAGUUGCUCCGGCUCCCAAGACGCCGGCUGGCGACCCUAACCGGCGCCCCUACCAGAACGACCACAAGCGCAAGGGCCCCAUGCCGACUUCCUCCAGUCGGCAGGUGGCCACCAUUGAAGACGAGCAGCCCGAAGAGCGGCCCGCUCCCAAGAAGAAGGGUGGCCGGCCGCCCUGGCAGCCGUCCUUCUCCUACGAACAAGCACUCGAUGCUCCCUGCAACUUCCACAGCGGCGCGAAGCCGUCCAACCAUACGACACGGAAAUGCCACUGGCUCACCCGCAUCACCAAGGGCGAAGGGAUGGUGCCGCCUCCGCCUCCCGGCCCGCCGCCUCCAGCUCCCCAGCAGCCGGCGGCCCGGCCGGCGGUCGGUGCCAUCCAAGAUGAGUUCCCCGAAGCGCACGACGCCUACGUCGUCUUCACAAGCCAAGUCGACGACAAGCGCAGCCGACGCCGGCAGCACCAAGAAGUAAACGCAGUCGCCUCUAGCACCGCCGAGUUCAUGCACUGGUCGGAAAAGCCCAUCAGCUGGAGCCAAGCCAAUCACCCAGAGGUGAUGCCUUCGCCUGGCUCCUAUGCUAUGGUCUUGGACGUCACCCUUGCGACGGAGAGGCGAGCCGCCAGAUUUUCCCGCGUCCUGAUAGACGGCGGAAGCAGUAUCAACAUACUGUACCGCGACACCAUGGACAAGCUGAACAUCAAAGCGAAGCAGCUCAUGCCGAGCCGCACUGUCUUCCAUGGUAUCGUACCCGGCCUAUCUUGCUCUCCGAUCGGCAAGAUCAAAAUGGAUGUUCUCUUCAGAGACAAAGAUCACUUUCGCCGGGAAGCGAUAUGGUUCGAGGUGGUGGAUUUGGAGAGCCCCUAUCAUGCACUACUUGGCCGACCUGCUUUGGCCAAGUUCAUGGCUGUGCCCCACUAUGCCUACCUGAAGAUGAAGAUGCCGAGCUCGAAGGGGAUCAUCACGGUAGCCGGCGACUACAAGAAGUCCAUCGAGUGUGCCAUGGCCAGCAGCCGGCUGGCCGAGUCCCUCGUGGUGGCAGAAGAGAAGAAGAUGUUGGAACGGGUUGUGGCCAUGGCCGGAAAGCAGCCGGCCUUGUCCCCCAACCCCAAGGACUGUGAUGCACAGGGCUCCUUCCAGCCUGCGAAAGAGACAAAGAAGAUACCUCUAGACCCGGAGCACCCGGAGAGGUUCGCCGUGAUUGGGGCGAACUUGGACAGUAAAUAGGAAGGCGAGCUCGCCGACUUCCUCCGUGAGAAUCGAGACAUCUUUGCAUGGUCCCCAAAGGACAUGCCGGGUGUCCCGAAGGAUUUCGCCGAGCACAAAUUACAUGUCCGAGCUGAUGCGAAGCCGGUCAAGCAACCCCUCCGCCGACUAUCAGAAGAGAAGCGAAGAAUCGUAGGAGAAGAGAUAGCCCGGCUCCUUGCAGCCGGCUUCAUAAUGGAAGUGUUCUUUCCAGAAUGGCUUGCCAAUCCAGUUCUGGUUUUGAAGAAGAAUAACAAGUGGCGCAUGUGCAUAGACUACACAAGUUUGAACAAGGCCUGCCCAAAGGAUCCGUUUGCUUUGCCACUGAUUGACCAAGUGAUAGACUCCACAGCCGGAUGCGAGCUGUUAAGUUUUUUGGAUGCAUACUCAGGGUAUCAUCAGAUCAAGUUGGACCCGGCUGACCGCCUGAAGACUGCCUUCAUCACACCCUUUGGAGCUUUCUGCUACCUGACAAUGACAUUCGGCUUGAGAAACGCCGGUGCCACUUUUCAGCGUUGCGUGCAGAAAUGUCUCUUGAAACAACUCGGCAGAAAUGCCCACGUCUAUGUAGACGACAUUGUGGUGAAGACAGAGAAGCGCGGUACCUUGCUGGAAGACCUGAAGGAAACAUUUGCCAACUUGCGCCGAUUCCAGAUCAAGCUCAACCCCGAGAAGUGCGUGUUCGGAGUGCCAGCCGGCCAGCUGCUAGGCUUCCUGGUCUCCGAACGCGGCAUUGAGUGCAACCCUGUCAAGAUCAAAGCCAUCGAGAGGAUGGAGAUUCCCACCAAGCUACGAGAUGUGCAGAAGUUCACUGGCUGCUUAGCCUCCCUGAACCGUUUCAUCAGCCGACUAGGAGAGAAGGCUCUCCCCCUAUACCGACUCAUGAAGAAGUCCACUCACUUUGAGUGGAAUGAUCAAGCCGACCAAGCCUUCCAUGAGUUGAAGAAAAUGUUGACCACUCCGCCUGUCCUGGCUGCGCCGACUGAGAAGAAGCCCAUGCUCCUCUACAUCGCCGCGACAAGCCGAGUCGUCAGCACUGUUGUUGUGGUCCAGCGCCCGGAGGAAGGCCGAGCCCAGCUGGUCCAGAGGCCGGUCUACUAUCUCAGCGAAGUACUGUCCAGCUCAAAGCAAAAUUACCCGCACUACCAGAAGAUGUGCUAUGGGGUGUACUUCGCUGCCAAGAAAUUGAAGCCCUACUUUCAAGAGCACCCCAUCACGGUCGUGUGCACUGCCCCGCUUGCCGAGAUCAUAGGCAGCAGGGAUGCAUCCGGCCGGGUGGCCAAAUGGGCCAUUGCCUUGGCGCCCUACACGAUUUUCUAUCAACCCCGCACUGCCAUCAAGUCGCAAGCAUUGGCCGACUUCCUCGUCGACUGGGCCGAGACCCAGUACUUACCGCCGGCUCCCGACUCCACCCAUUGGCGGAUGCACUUUGACGGGUCCAAGAUGCGCACCGGCUUGGGAGCCGGCAUCGUCCUCACCUCUCCCAAAGGCGACAAGCUCAAGUACACGCUGCAGAUCCACUUCGCCGCCUCCAACAACGUGGCCGAGUACGAGGCGCUCGUACAUGGGCUCCGGCUAGCCAAAGAACUCGGCAUACGCCGGAUCCUGUGCUACGGCGACUCAGACUUGGUGGUCCAGCAAUCAUCUGGCGACUGGGACGCCAAGGACGCAAACAUGGCAAGCUACCGUUUCCUCGUCCAGCAGAUGAGCGGAUACUUCGAAGUGUGCGAGUUCCUUCACGUGCCAAGGGCCGACAACGACCAAGCAGAUGCCCUAGCACGGAUCGGCUCCACCCGACAAGCCAUACCGACUGGCGUCUCCCUCCAGCGCCUCCUCAAGCCGUCCAUCAAGCCGUCUCCAGAGUCAGAUUCCAUCUUCGUACCGCCUGCACCAGAAACAGCCGGAUCCGGCUCAAGAAAUCCCGCAGGCGGCACGAGGACUUCGACGACUGCCCUGGGGACUGACGUAGUCGCACCCGGCCCAAGGACUUCAGAACCCGGCCCAGGGACUGCAGCAGUCGGCCCGGGGACUGCAACGACACAAGAAGCGAUGGUCGACUCCAAUGCAACACCCAACCCACCCACCCGAGUCAUGGUGGCCACAUUAACAGCAGAAGAAGUCACAGCUCCCUCAUGGGCCCAGCCCAUCCUCAAGUUCCUAGUCAGCAGAGAGCUGCCGGCUGAUGAGAUCGCAGCAAGACUAGUGCAACGACGAGCCGCAGCAUACACAAUAAUCAACAGGGAGCUUGUGAAGCGCAGCGUCACUGGAGUCUUCCAGCGUUGCGUCGAGCCAGAAAAAGGAGUGGCAAUCCUCAAAGACAUCCACCAAGGCGAAUGCGGCCACCACGCCGCCUCAAGAUCCCUCGUGGCCAAGGCUUUCCGCCAUGGGUUCUUCUGGCCGACUGCCUUGGAGGAUGCUAAAGAAAUAGUCAAGAGCUGCAGAGGAUGUCAAGUCUUCAGUUCCAAACAACACCUGCCGGCUUCUGCCCUCAAGACCAUUCCCCUCACCUGGCCUUUUGCCGUCUGGGGACUGGACAUGGUGGGCCCUUUCAAGACAGCCCGCGGUGGCUUGACACAUCUACUCGUUACUGUGGACAAGUUCACAAAGUGGAUUGAAGCCAAGCCAAUUAAGAAGCUGAACGGGCCGACUGCCGUGACAUUCAGCACCGACAUCACUACUCGGUACGGCGUGCCGCACAGCAUCAUCACCGACAACGGCACGAACUUCGCCAAAGGCGCACUGGCACGUUUCUGCGCGACACAGGGCAUCCGACUGGACUUAGCGUCCGUUGCCCACCCGCAGUCAAACGGCCAGGUCGAGCGAGCAAAUGGACUUAUCCUCUCCGGCAUCAAGCCCCGACUGGUUGUACCACUGGAGCGAUCGGCCGGCUGCUGGCUCGAAGAGCUGCCGGCUGUCCUCUGGAGUCUGCGCACUACACCCAACAAGUCAACCGGCUUCACUCCAUUCUUCCUUGUGUACGGUGCCGAGGCUGUCAUCCCAACAGACAUCGAGUUCGACUCGCCUCGGAUCACCAUGUACACGGAGGAGGAAGCCAAAGAAGCAAGAGAAGACGGCGUCGACCUACUGGAAGAAGGCCGGCUGUUAGCCCUCAGCCGGUCCGCCAUCUACCAGCAAGGCCUGCGCCGCUACUACAACCGCAAGGUCAAGCCAAGAUCCUUCCAAGAGGGCGACCUUGUGCUCCGGCUGAUCCAACGAACAGCCGGCCAGCACAAGCUCUCGGCCCCUUGGGAAGGCCCCUUCGUCGUCAGCAAGGCACUCGGCAACGACUCCUACUACUUGAUCGACGCGCAAAAGCCAAGAGCACGCAAGAGAGACGACUCCGGCAAGGAGUCGGAGCGACCAUGGAACGCAAACCUCCUAAGACGAUUUUACAGCUGAAAAGCAGUAUGUAUCACGCUACCCCUUUUGUAUUAAGUUACAAACCAACAGGCCCCCCGAACAGUACUCGGGGACUGCCUUUUAUUUAUCUAUGAAUGACGAGUGUCAUAUCCAUGAAUGUAUUAUUACAUUUUGAAUUCUUGUCCGGCACCGGGUCCGACUAGUCGGCCCGGGGACUGGCCGCCUUGAGCUAUAUUCUACGUUCUUCCCGAAGUCAGCAAAGUAGUGCGCCGGCUCCCAAGUCCUCUCUUGUUGAAAGUCGCAGCUCAAAGAACUGACUGUCCGACUAGCAAGAGAGAAGACAGAAAGGACGCCCACACGAAAAACGGCUAAGGAACAACUAACCUAUAUAGCAGAAAGAUGGCCUCCAUACAUGCCUGCCGGCUGUCACAGCAGCCGGCUGGCCGGCUUCCUAAAAAACUUAGCUUAAGUCCGGGAAAGCUAAAAGUACCUCCCCCUCCCCAAUCGGCCAGGCACUCCCCGGCUACGGAUUGCAGAGCAACUGUUUGACUAGGGAGGCGGCAACCAAGGGAGGGCGGCAAAGGAAAAAAGCAGAAGGACAAAAAAGCGAAAGAACAAGGAAAGACCGAUUGCAUAACUUAUAUACAUAAAGCCGCCCACAGGCCGGCAACAGACUUAAGUUUGAAUACACCCAGUGGGUGGAACUGUGCAGACUUAACCAAAUAUUGUUCAAAAGUAACAAGACAGGAAAGCAAAAGAAAGAAGACUAAGGCGUGACUUGGAGGCCGAGCUGGUCGGUGAAGGCAGCUCGCCGGCUGAAGGAGUGGCCGCCUAGCUGGUCCCGGCUUGACCACCUCCCGCGGCAGGAGACGCACUCGCACGCGACGUAGUGCUGGAGGCGCGGUCAGGCUGGCCGGCUACUCCACCAGCCGGCUCGGCGUCUUCACCCUCCUCCUCCUCCUCUUCGCCCUCGUCGCUGGAGUCGAUCUCCUCCGCCGAGUCCUUGCCGUACGCCGGGUCCAGCCCGAACCAAUCUUCCGGCUGGGCGACUUCAUCGCCAUCCACCUCGGGGGCGAAGACACUGGUGUCGGUGUAGUCGGCGAUCGCCGAAGCCCGCCGAAUGAUGGCCGGCCGCACCGGCUCCAGCUCUGCGUCGGCUUGCUGCCGCCAGGUCGCCAGCUGGUCCAGGUUCAGGCCGGGAUACCAGGCCUUGACGAACUCCAGCGCCCGCCUGGCGCCGGAGCGAGCCGCUGACGCCUUCCAAGCCUCGAAGCGGCCGACGGCCACCUCCAGCCAGUCGGCGGUCCGACUGGGAGUGCGCGGGACCACUUGGCCAGGCCAGAGGGCGGCCAAGACCUGCGACCCGGCACGCUGAAGCCGGUGGAGUAGCCUGUGAGCCGGCUGGAUACGAGCCUGGAUCGCCAGGAGCUGCUUCUCCAGCGAGCGGCCGGCGGUGGGCGAGAUCUCGAAGCCGGCUUGCCUCUUCGCCUGGCGACGAGCUUCGAUGGCCUGGUUGGCAGCAGUUGAGUAGCCAGGGAAGUACUCUGCGCGAAGGAGAAAAGGAAAGAAGAACACCAAAAUCAGAAAAACAAGCCGAAGUGGCAGAUCGCUAGAAAGGAUGAAGGGGUAGACGACUUACCGUCAACCAGGUCCUCAAUCUGGCCAUAGCCGGAGACCAGAGUCUGCCUGGCCUCUGCCCAGCCGACCGCCUCCGUCUCGAACUCGGCCUGGAGGGUGGCUUCGCGAUCCUGCGCAGCCUUCAGCGCCGCCUGGUGGCUUUCCUCCUGGUCGGCCAGCUUCUUGACCAGGCGGUCGCGCUCCUGCACCAAGGCGGCGAGCUCCGCGUCCUUGGCACGAAGAGCAGUCUGGGACUCCCCCAGCUGUGCCCUCAGACCGGCGUUGGCUGCUGCAGAGAUAGAAGAAGAAGAAGAAUAAUAAUGAGAAAUCAUCAAGGAAGAUCCGAGCCGACUGCUCAGCAGUCGGCCCGAAUCUCGGGGACUACACCCAGUGGGUGCGCUGACGCGCCCCCACAUGAGAUAAAGAUCAAGUCACAUACCUCGGCUUUCAGUGAGAUCGGCGGUCUUCUGAGUCAGCUCCCGAGCCUGGGAGUUGAAGGCGGCCGCUAGGAGGUUGUGGUAGUCCUGCAAGACGGACAGAAGACCGAAGUGAGAACAAAGCAGCAAAAACAAAAUCUCCAAGAAGUUCCAAGCCGCCUGCUCAGCAGCCGACUCGGAACUCGGGGACUACACCCAGUGGGUGCGCUGACGCGCCCCCACGAGAGAAAUCAAGAUCAAGAAAGAACAAGAUGAGAAUACUAACCCGGAUGGCUGCCCGCGUGGCGAGGAAUUCGUCGGUGAACUGCCUCAGCGCCGCGGCUUGACCUUGCAGCCGGGUCCGGACGUCUUGUGCAGCAACGUUCACCACGGUUGUCCCUCCGCCCGGCGUCCACCCCGAGGUAGCGCUAGCCGCCUCCGUGUCUCGGGCCGACGAACUGGAGCCCACGGCCGGCUGUGGCUCAGACGCAGCCUUCUGCGGUUCAGACGCGGCCCUCCCUGCACGCCGGCUUGGUGGAACCCGGACCGCCACCUCAGCUCCCGCGGCCGGCUCGCCCUCCGUCGACUGUGCGGGCGCAGGCUCAGGCUGGCGGCCUUGGGUCGCCCUAGUCGGAGGAGUCGGCCCCGGCGCCUCCCCCAAGAUGACGACGUCGUCACCGCUUCCUCCCAGCCCCGGCUGGGAACCGCUGACUCCCCCUGGCGAGGGAUCCACGUCCCCAGGCGCCAUGGUGCGCAGGGGGGUGACCAUCAAGGCCUCCCCUGCCGUCGCUUCGGCCCCGGCCUCUGCCUGGGCCUUGGCUGCGGCCUCGGCAAGCGCCUUCGCCGCCUCCUCCUCCCGAGCUGCCUGGGCGGCGGCUGCCCUCCGUGCCUCCGCCUCCCGCGCUUCCUGCUCCUCCCGCGCCUCCCGCGUGUUCCUUUCCGUCGCCUCCAGGAGGGCGGCGCGGGGAUCUACGCGGCGGGUGGUGCUCCCAGAGCCCCCCGGCGACUCGAUGACGGAGCCGGCGGCCGCCCGCUCAAGUGAUAGUGGAGCUCUAACCAUUGAAAAAGAAGACAAAGAUUCAAGAACCACCAAAGGAAAGAAAGAAGGACAGUACACCGAAAGAAAAAACUUACGCCGACACGGUCUGCGGCUGCUUCACCACCUUGCGGAAGCGAGCCGCCUUCGCGGCCGCCUCUUCCCGCCUGGUGGCCGCCGCCCCACCCCUGGGCUUCUUCGUCCGGCUACCGAACAUGCCCUGGGUGGCGCGACGUUUCUGGCCUCUACCCCAAGCAGGCUACGCGCCGGAGGAGCCCGCGCCACGUCCGGAUACCGGCUGGCGAUGUGGGACGGCUUCGGCUUCGUCCUCGUCCGGCCAGUCGUCGAAGGUAGCGGUGAACCCGGAGCCGCCUGCUUCCCCGCCGGCCGGCUCGGCGGCAUCCUCCAUAUGGACCGCCCCCAGGUCGGGGUCAUCCUGGUCAUGUUCGGUCCGGUCGGGGACGAAGUGGCGCUCCACGUCUGCCCCGCCGGCCGGCCGGAGCAGAGGACUCUGUCAAAAGAGCAAGCCGACUGAAUUAGAGUCGGCCCAGAGGAACUCGGCGACAAAGCUGAGAGAGAGAAAGAGAAAAGAGACAAGGGGAGCGUACCGUAGGCGGAGGAUUGGCGCGGCUGUAUGGCUCCUUGCCAAAUUGCCAGUCUUCGGAAAGCUGGCAGUUGGCGAGGUAAUUCACCAUGUCGGCGGCGUCGGGCUGCGGCAUCUCCUUGGUACACAUCCGGCUCGGAUCGAGCUGGCCGCUCAUCUGACAGAUCAGAUGAGGCCGGCUCUGGAGCGGAAGGACCCGGCGCGUGACGAACGCGGCCAGGAGGUCGGGCCCCGUCAGGCCCUCCGACUGGACCAUCACCCGCAGGCGGGCGAUGGCAGCGUUUCCUCCUUGCGACAGCGUCACCGCCCGGAAGGACCACUGGGGCAGCCUCCCCGCCGGUGGGCCGGCUACGUAAGCCGGCAGGUUGAUGUAGUCGCCCCGUGGAGCGAUGUUCCGCACGUAGAAGUACGACUUCUGCCACUUCUUCACCGAUUGGAUCAGCGUGAUGACGGGGAAGGGGUUGUCGGCGCCCGAUCUCCGCGACGCGAUGAAGGCGCCAGUAUGAGCCGGCACGCCUUUACUGCGCGUGCCCAGCUUCGACUGGAAGAAAUCCCCCCAGAGCUCGAGGGUGGGGAGGACGCCAAGAUAGCCCUCGCACAGGGUGACGAAGGCCGACAGCAGCACCACCGCGUUGGGGGUGAGGUGGUGCGGCUGGAGCUGAUAGAAGUCUAGCCAGGAGCGAAAGAAGGCGCUCACUGGCAGGCCGAAGCCGCGCAGGAAGUGCGAGCGGAAGACAACCCGCUCGCCAUCCCGCGGUGCCGGCCUGAUUUCCUUCUCCGGCGCGAGGCGGACCUCCACUUUGUCCGCGUUGGGCAGACGCCGGGUGUCGCGGAGGAAGUCGAUGUGGUCGUUGUGGACGAUGGAGCCAUCCCAAUCCCCGCCAAGCUGCUCUACGUGGGGAGGCAUAGCGGAAGCUAGCACGGCGGCGGAGGAGCGUGCGGAGGAAGAGCGCGGCGGCGAGGCGCUGUCGCAAGAACGAGCAAGGCGAGAAGACGAAGGAAGUAGGAGGAGCGUGCGAGGGUCUGCCGCCCUCCACCUCCCCCUACUUAUAGCCUCACGCGGCCGAAGAGGCGGGACGUGGGGGGAGACGUGGGAUUAACUGCGCCCACUCCCCCCACGUCUCGCGUUUAUUACGCAUAAGUGCGAGCCGAAACUGCCGCACGGAACGUGCUGGCGGUUUCGGGAUACAAAGGAUCCGCGCCUCGGCCGGGGCGCGGACGUGGCGGGCCCCCUUCCUGCGGCGAUGUCUCGUCACGCGCGUGGGCUGGCAGGCUUUCCAGCCACGUGGCACGCCGACGGCCCGAGGCCGGCCCGCGGCCCGGCGCACGUCCCUGCGGGUUCCCGCCCCCCGACUCCAGAAGAAUUCGACUAAGGCGGCGCGCCUGACCAAGGCCGGCUCCCAGCUGCCGGCUCGUCACGAUAGGAAGCUGAUCAAGCUUCUUGAACCCCACUCCGCCUCGAAGCCCAACCAGCUUCGGGGACUACUGUCGGAGAAAAUGGCCACGGGUAGCCUAACCGACUACCCCUGGCUCUUCAGGAAAUUUAUCAGGCCUUUGGGCCUUCAAGCACUCCAAGUAUUUGGGCCGCCUUCCCCGGCCGGCUACCACUAAAGCCGACUCCCGGAAGGCGACCCAGCCUCACCGACUCCUCCCAAGGACGACUGGGGGUGGCCGACUCCAAGAAGCCGGCCAAGAAGGACGCCGACUCCAAGGAGCCGGCGAAGACCACAACCACUCCAACAUAACGGCGACGUGACGGGGUAUGGCCACAGUGCGGCCCACGACCCCCGAAGCCCGAGGCGGGCAUGGCUACAGGAGGCCGUACGGGAGGGACGUCUCCCGUGCGGCUCGGCACUGUAGCCACGCUAGCCUCGACGUCAUCCACGACCCACUCCUGUACGGCCCAAGGACUGCGGGCCCCUUCAGCCAGAGAGAGGCAUGAAGGCGGCCCGGCUUUUCCUAGUCGGCCAAGAGUGUAGCCGGCCUCCAGAAGCCGGCUACCCCCUUCCUCGAAGCAAGAGCCCCAUUAAGGAGACAAGACGAGGUGAGGCUACAGUGAUAGCCCCCGAGGCGGCCCACUGUAGCCACGCUCACCUCGACAAAGCCCUCAUCAUCAGAGGCGCGGCUACAGUAAGCAGCCGCCGACAAGACCCUAAGCGGUGGGACCGGCCUGUCGACCAAGUAGCCGGCAGCCGGCGGGACCCACCAGCCGGCGGGACCCAGCCGCCGGCGGAGAAGCCGGCGAGCGUAGACACUGACGGCUGGGGCCAGUUCCCAAUCAGAUUACCAUUGUACCCCCGGGGGGUAAGCCUAUAUAAACCCCCCGGAGCACCCAUGCAAAGGGUUCGCACCUCUGCAUGUUUGGCUUCCAAGCAUAGCACACACACACACCAUAGAUAGAGAGAAGCAAGAGCUAGCCUUGUUCUUCUUCUCCCUUGAUCCCAACAGCUCUAGGAGCGAUUGUAGCUACCCUUUAUCGAUCUAGUGAUCAUGCAGAGACCCCGCAGAGCAGGACUAGGGGUGUUAUCUCCUCGGAGAGCCCCGAACCUGGGUAAGAUUCGCCGGCGUGCAUGUCUUCGCCUCAUCCCGUUUUCAGGCACCGGCGACGUUUUAUUGGCUCCCACAAUGAUAAGCCAUCCCUUGGCAUAUGUCGCACCAACCACCCGACAGCGUGGUACUAAUACUGCUACCUCAUCGGGACUGGGACAGAGGCCGAAUUGCUAAUCGAGCUCUUGACGAGCCGAGCUGUCCUGUUGUAGUGUGGUCCGGACCCUCUUAGUGAUUUCCAGGGGCUCGGCAGCCGGAUUAUAGUUCUGCUUGAGAAGGCCGCUUUGUACCUCUGCUGCUAGGGCGGCUGUGUGCUCCUCUGUACGGAGGGAGCAUUCGGUGUUUCCAUUGACUGUUAUGACACCGCGUGGACCGGGCAUCUUGAGCUUGACAUAAGCAUAGUGUGGCACCGCGUUGAAUCUUGCAAAUGCAGUUCGUCCGAGCAGUGCGUGGUAGCCGCUGCGGAAGGGGACGAUAUCAAAGAUUAGCUCUUCGCUUCGGAAGUUGUCCGGGUAACUGAAGACCACUUCCAGCGUGAUUGAGCCCGUACAACGGGCCUCUACGCCUGGUAUGACUCCUUUAAAGGUAGUCUUUGUGGGUUUGAUUCGUGAGGGAUCAAUGCCCAUUUUGCGCACAGUAUCCUGAUAGAGCAGGUUGAGGCUGCUACCACCGUCCAUUAGGACUCGUGUCAGGUGAAAUCCGUCAAUGAUUGGGUCGAGGACCAGUGCGGCCGAACCGCCAUGACGGAUGCUAGUUGGGUGAUCUCGAUGAUCAAAGGUGAUCGGGAAUGAUGACCAUGGGUUAAAUUUUGGGGCGACUGGCUCCACCGCAUAGACGUCCCUGAGUGCGCACUUGCGCUUCCUUUUGGGGAUGUGUGUAGCAUAUAUCAUGUUCACCGUUUUGACUUGAGGGGGAAAUUUCUUCUGCCCACCAGUGUUCGGCUGCCGGGGCUCUUCGUCAUUGUCCUCGCUUUGUGAUCCCUUUUCCUUGUUCUCGGCAUUUAGCUUGCCAGCCUAUUUAAAAACCCAACAAUCUCUGUUGGUAUGAUUGGCUAGUUUGUCUGGGGUGCCAUGUAUCUGGCACGGACGGUCGAGUAUGCGGUCCAAGCUGGAUGGUCCCUCACUGUUCCUUUUGUAGGGAUUCUUCCGCUGGCCAAACUUGCAGCUGCUGAAUCCGGCGUUAACUGUAGUGUCAUCGGUGUUAUCGCCAUUGCUUCGACAUUUGUGUCUAUUGCGCCGGAGCUUGCCGGUGCUGUUCUUGGCCUCGGAGGGCCCUGCUUUGCUGCCUGUGUUUUUGCUACGAGCCAGCCAGCUAUCCUCACCCGCGCAAAAGCGGGUCAUGAGUGCUGUGAGGGCUGCCAUGGAUUUCGGCUUUUCUUAGCCGAGGUGGCGGACGAGCGAUUCGUCACGGAUGCUGUGUUUGAAGGCCGCUAGGGCUUCAGCAUCCGGACAGUCAAUGAUCUGGUUCUUUUUGGUUAGGAACCUAGUCCAGAAUUUUCUGGCUGAUUCUCCAGGUUGUUGAACUAUAUGACUUAAGUCAUCGGCGUCUGGUGGCCGGACAUAAGUACCUUGGAAGUUGUCAAGAAAAGCUUCUUCCAAGUCCACCCAGCUGCCGAUGGAAUUUUCAGGCAGGCUAUUUAACCAGUGUCUAGCUGGCCCUUUUAGUUUUAGUGGGAGGUAUUCGAUGGCGUGGAGAUCGUCUCCUCGGGCCAUAUGGAUGUGGAGAAUAAAAUCCUCGAUCCAUACCGCGGGAUCGGUUGUUCUGUCGUAUGAUUCAAUAUUGAAGGGCUUGAACCCCUCGGGGAAUUCAUGAUCCACUACUUCAUCUGUGAAGCAAAGAGGGUGUGUGGCGCCUCUAUAUCGGGCCGCGUCGCGGCGUACCUCCGAUGAAGUCCGCCUGCGGUUAUCGGCCCGGGCGUGACUAGGUUUGCCACGUCCGAAUAGGUAGCUGUCAUCGCGAGUCGAAAAGCAUCCUCGCGAUCCGUAGAUUGAUCUGGUGUGUCCUGCUCUACUGUCCAGGUCCUGCCGAAGGUCGUAUCUAUAGUCCCGAGCUGUUUUGUCUCUGUUUUAUGAGGCGGUGGGGCGGGCUGCUGUUCGGUCUGAGUUGUCGUUUUAUCUCAACCGCGGGGUGGUCGGUCCGCCGCACUAUCCCGACCACGUGGUGGUUGUUCCGCAUUGCGCGAGGGAGGUAUGGGCUCCGGCGCCUCCUCAUCGAACUGAGGUAGCAGUCUGCGCUUCGGGUAACUCUUGGCUGGACGCUUGAGGUCGUAUUCUUCGGCUGCCAGGACAUCAGUCCAUCUGUCAAUGAGUAGGUCUGGAUCAGCUUGGAGCUGCUACUGCUUUUUCUUCAGGCUUCUUGCAGUAGCUAUUAGUUGGCGCUUGAAGUGCUCCUGCUUGAGGGGUGCCUCAGGCACGAUGAAAUCCUCGUUGCCGAGGCUCUCAUCAUCCGCGGAGAGUGGACGGUAACUAUCGUCAUCCGGGUCGUUGGGCAUGGCCUAUUUAUCAGGGUUAACUUGCCUGUUGUCUUGUUCCUCCUGUUCGGAUGUUACUCCAACAGGGUCUUCAUUGUUUUCGGCGUCGUCCGGAGUACUAUUUUCUCUGGUGCCAGUGUUGCUAUCUUUUGAGCGACGUGACAUAGAACGGCGUUUAGGGCGCCGGCGCUUGGACUGUGUCUCAGGAGGUUUAUGCGCAACUGGGUCUUCUUUGUCAUUGUCGCUAGCUUUUUUAGGUGUGUCAACCAUGUACACAUUGUACGAAGAGGUGGCCGUCCAAUGUUCAGUGAAUGGCGGGUCUUGGCCUUGCUCCUUGUUGGCAUCGUCGUCCAUACCGUCGAUGUCUUAGAGCCAUGAUAGAGCACGUCGGUUAAGUCCUCGACAGUGGCUAUGAAGUGGGUGGCGGGUGGGAAGCGAAAUUCUCCAUCACCAGCCUCUAGUUCGAGCCGGACAUAGCUCGGCUGUGGGUCCCCCGCCAAGGACAGGUUUUUUAAUGAAUUUAGCACAUCACCCAAGGGCGAGUGUUGGAAGACGUCUGCGGCGCUGGACUCGAAGUUCGAUGACCGAUCCAGCUCGAUGUCCGCAGGUGUACGUGGUUCGGAACUUAUGGCCGGAAACGAGUCCGGAAUUCCGUUGAGGCAGAUAUUGCUAGGUGCUGAGUCUAUGUGCGGCUCCAACGCCGCGGAUUCUGUGGCUUCGGAUGGCGCGAUCUGCUCCGGAUCGAAGGUCGUAGCAGUUAUAGGAACCAUCUUCUGAAUAUGGUCCGAUGACAGAUUUAAGUCAUGCUCAUCGGUGCGAGUGGGAGCGAUCGCCGCGGUCACAAAUCCAUUGAAGAUCAAGUCUCCACGGAUAUCCGCAACGUAGUUCAAGCUUCCAAAUCUGACCUGGUGGCCAGGGGAGUAGCUAUCGAUCUGCUCCAGAUGGCCAAGCGAGUUGGCCCGCAGUAUGAAGCCGCCGAAUACGAAAAUCUGUCUGGGGAGGAGGGUUUCUCCUUGGACAGCAUCACUAUAGACGAUCAAAGGGGCCAUCGAACCUUUUGUCGCCGGCACAGUGGAACUCUCAAUGAAAGCACCAAUGUCGGUGUCAAAACCGGCGGAUCUCGGGUAGGGGGUCCCGAACUGUGCGUCUAAGGUCGAUGGUUACAGGAGACAGGGGACACGAUGUUUACCCAGGUUCGGGCCCUCUCUAUGGAGGUAAUACCCUACUUCCUGCUUGAUUGAUCUUGAUGAAUAUGAGUAUUACAAGAGUUGAUCUACCACAAGAUCGUAAUGGCUAAACCCUAGAAGCCUAGCCUGUAUGACUAUGGUAAUGAGUAUAUCCUUUCCGGACUAAACCCUCCAGUUUAUAUAGACACCAUGGGGUGGAUCUAGGGUUACAUAGAGUCGGUUACAUAAGAUGGAAUCUUCAUAGUUGGUCGCCAAGCUUGCCUUCCACGCCAAGGAGAGUCCAAUCCGGACACGGGUACAGUCUUCGGCCUUCGCGUCUUCACAGCCCAUCAGUCCGGCCCAUGGAUAACAGGCCAGACCCCCGAGGACCCCUUAGUCCAGGACUCCCUCAGAUGGCCCAGAUGACGCUACUAGGCCUAAUUCCGGUAGGCCGUAACGGUCCGUGAGUUAGCGGGCUGUAAAUGGGCUAUAUGCGAACAUGCCGUUAACAGGCUUUCCGUGGGCCGGCCCGCCACAUUUUGACCAAGUCAAACGGGUCGGCCUUUUCACAGGAAUGGGCCUCUGUUGGGUCGUGCCACAUGUCAACGUAUCAUAGGCACCUUGGGUCCAAUGAGUGGAUGACAUCUGUCCCAACGGUGAGCCGACACGUGCUUCCUCCAGCCAAUGAUGAUUUUACACGUGGAAAAUCCCCAUUGGUCGGGGCUGUUAACGGGUUAUCGGAUCCAAAACCGGACCCGAUAGCUUAACGGCGUUCCGUUACGGUGGAUGCCACGUGUCGGUCACCCUUGAUGAAAGCAAUUCUGUGACGCGCGAUUUAUCGUCAUGGAAGUGGACACUUCCGUGAUGAUAAUUUUGGUAAUGUCAUGGAACACUUCUACAACAUCACAGGUAUGACUAUCUUGAUUCUGUCAUAAAAUCGUCAUGGAUGUACAUGCAUGACAAAAAACGCGACCUACUAUGACAAACACGUAUCAUCACGGAAGUGUAUUUUUUUUGUAGUGAAGCACCAUGUUCAAGUAGGGAUUACAGCGGGGUGCGGGAGAGUGGACCGCGUAAAAGGAUGAGGAUGGUGAUGAUGAUGGUGAUGUUGAUGAAGACGAUUGAUAAUCCCCAAGUGCAGGGAAUCAUCGUAGCAAUUUCCAAAGGUGGAAGUGAUAAGUAUGGAGUGUCGAACCCACAAGGAGCUAAAGGUAAGAUCAAUAUUCUCUCAAGCCCUAUCUGCCACUGAUACGACUCUACGUACACCGAACGUUUGCUUCCAACUAGAAACGAGAAAUAAAACUACGUUGUGGGUAUGAAGAGGAUAAUUUUGCAUGGUAUCGGAGAGCUAAAAUAUAAAAGUAGGUGAUGUUAUCAUAAAGUUAGAUUAUAUUACUAAAUAUUAUAAAUAGCAAGUGUGGAAUAAUGAUGGGUCGGUGUGCGGAAUUGUCCUAGGCAAUUGUUAACAAGACCGGUAGUUGUCAUUGCAAUUUCAUAUGAGGGAGAGGCAUAAGCUAACAUACUUUCUCCACUUGGAUCAUAUGCACUUAUGAUUGGAACUCUAGCAAGCAUCCGCAACUACUAAAGAUCAUUAAGGUAAAACCCAAGCAUAGCAUUAAAGCAUCAAGUCCUCUUUAUUCCCAUACGCAACAACCCCCUUACUCGGGUUUGUGUUUCAGUCACUCACCAACCCACUAUAAGAGAAUCAUGAACGUAUUGCAACACCCUACAGCGGGAAUCCCUCACGCUUGCGCGACACGGAGGGCACCAUAGGACAGCACCAAAAUAAAACAUACAACUCGUACCAAUCUAGAUCAUCAAUCAACCCAAAGACAAAGGAUAUCUACUCAAAACAUCAUAAGAUGGCAACACAUCAUUGGAUCAUAAUAUGUGGCAUAAAGCACCAUGUUCAAGUAGGGAUUACAGCGGGGUGCGGGAGAGUGGACCGCGUAAAAGAGAUGAGGAUGGUGAUGAUGAUGGUGAUGUUGAUGAAGAGGAUCACCGCGGCGAUGAUUCCCCUCCGAUGGCACUCCGGCGCCACCGAGAGAGAGGAGGAGAGGUUCUCCCCCUUGUGCUUCCUCCUUCAUGGCCUUCCCCCUAGAUGGGGAGAGGUUCUCCCUCUGGUCCUUGGCCUUCAUGGCGAUGAUGGCCUCUCCGGGAUCCUCCUCCAUGGCCACCGGUGAUGAUUGCCCCCUCCGGCAGGGUGCCAGAGAGGGCCUAGAUUGAUUUCUCGUGGCUACAGAGGCUUGCGGCGGCGGAACUUACGAUCUAGGUUAAUUCCCGAAGGUUUCUGUAUAUAUAAGAGGUUUUGGCGUCGAGAACAAGUCAGGGGGUCUCCGGGUUGUCCACGAGGUAGGGGGCGCGCCCAGGGGGGUGGGCGCGCCUCCCACCCUCGUGGGCAGCCCGGGACUCUUCUGGCCCAACUCUUUUACUCCAUGGCCUUCUUCUGGUCCAAAAAUAAGAUCCAUCAAGUUUCAGGUCAAUUGGACUCCGUUUGGUUUUCCUUUUCUGCCAUAUUCUAAAACAAGGAAAAAGCAGAAACUGGCACUGGGCUCUAGGUUAAUAGGUUAGUCCCAAAAACCAUAUAAAAUAGCAUAUAAAUGCAUAUAAAACAUCCAAGGUUGAUAAUAUAAUAGCAUGAAUACUUCAUAAAUUAUAGAUACGUUGGAGGCGUAUCAAUGAUCACCGCGACGAUGAUUCCCCUCCCGAUGGCACUCCAGCGCCACCAAGAGAGAGGAGGAGAGGUUCCCCCUUGUGCUUUCUCCUUCAUGGCCUCCCCCUGGAUGGGGAGAGGUUCUCCCUGUAGAUCUUGUCCUUCAUGGCGAUGAUGGCCCCUCCGGGAUCCUUCUCCAUGGCCUGCGGUGAUGAUGGCCCCCUCCGGCAGGGUGCCAGAGAGGGCCUAGAUUGAUUUCUCGUGUGUACAGAGGCUUGCGGCAGCGGAACUUCCGAUCUAGGUUAUUUUCUGGAGGUUUGGAUAUUUAAAGGAGAGGUUGGCAUCAAUAACAAGUCAGGGGGGCCCACGUGAAGUCCACGAGGCACAGGGGCAUGCCCUAGGGGGUGGGGGUGCCCUCCACCCUCGUGGAGCCCACGGGACUCCCCUUCGGUAACUCUUCGUUCCAGUAUUUUUUAUAUUUUCUAGAAAAAUUCUCCGUUGAUUUUCAUCGCAUUCCGAGAACUUUUAUUUCUGCACAAAAACAACACCACAGUAGUUCUGCUGAAAACAGCGUCAGUCCGGGUUAGUUCUAAUCAAAUCAUACCAAAAUCAUAUAAAACUAUUGUAAACAUGGCACGAAUAAUUCAUAAAUUAUAGAUACGUUGGAGACGUAUCAGCAUCCCCAAGCUUAAUUCCUGCUCGUCCUCCAGUAGGUAAAUGAUAAAAGAAAUAAUUUAUGAAGUGUGAAUGCUAGUAAGUGCAUAAGUUUGAUCAAUGAUAGUUCCAAUCAAUUUUUCUAGCAUCAUUAUACAUCAUAACAGUAGCUCAACUCAUAAAACUUCUCAUGAUCAAGUAACAAGCUAUUCACAUGUUAAAGUAUAGAUCAUAAACUUUCUUGAAAACUAACAAACCGUGCUCUUAGUCAUCAAACAAUUGCAAUUCAUCUUAUUUUCGGGAAGGGUCUAUGUAAGAGCUUUGAUUCAGCAAACUCCACAUACUCAACUAUCAUUUAAUCUUUCACAAUUGCUAACCCUCAUGUGAUAUUUAUGGGUUCAAAGUUUUAAUCAGGCACAGAGAAAGAUAGGGGCUUAUAGUUUCGCCUCCCAACCUUUUACCUCAAGGGUAAUGUCAACAAUAAUAAUUUAUGAAAACCUACAUCCAAGUGGUUAUAUAUAUCCGGAUCGCUCCAACACAAAGUGCUUGCCGAAGGAAAAAGUGUAAAAAGGAAAGGUGAUGAUCCCCAUGAGUCUUGUAUAAGGGUAGAAGAUAAAAGUAAAAGAUAGGCCCUUCGUAGAGGGAAGCAGAGGUUGUCAUGCGCUUUUAUGGUUGGAUGCACAAAAUGUUAAUGCAAAAAAAUGUCACUUUAUAUUGCCGCUUGUGAUAAAGACCUUUAUUAUGCAGUCCAUCGCUUUUAUUUCUUCCCUAUCACAAGUUCAUAUAAAGCUUAUUUUCUUCGCACUAAUAGAUCAUACAUAUUUAAGGAGCAAUUUUUUAUUGCAUGCACCGAUGACAACUUACUUGAAGGAUCUUACUCAAUCCAUAGGUAGGUAUGGUGGAAUCUCAUGGCAAAACUGGGUUAAUGAAUGUUUGGAAGCACAAGUAGUAUCUCUACUUGGUGCAAAGAAUUUGGCUAGCAUGAGAGGGAAAGGCAAGCUCAACAUGUUGGAUGAUCCAAGACAAUAUAACAUUUUGGAUAUAGGAAAACAUAACCCAGUAAGUUGUAUUCCUUGUCCAACAUCAACUUUUUAGCAUGCCAUAUUUUAAUGAGUGCUCACAAUUACAAAAGAUGUCCAAGAUAGUAUAUUUAUAUGUGAAAUAUCUCUUCCUUCAAUAUUCUUUCAUGAAUUGUUCAAGUGACCAAUUAUGCGUUUGCUAACUUUCAAUAAGUUUACUACCUAUACUUAUUAUGUGUGAAGUCAUUACUCCCCAUGUUAUAAGCAUAUGAAAUGUAUAUAAAUUCAAAUUUAUGAUAUUCAAUUCAUUCAACUAUUUACUCAUAGGAUAUACGUGAAGCACGUGAGUAAAUGACAAACUACUCCAAAAAGAUAUAAGUGAAGAACACUGAGUAGUCAAAUAAUUAACUAGCCAUGGGAGGAUUCUUUUUCAUUCAAGAUUUCAGAUCCAAUGAUUUUAUUCAAACAGCAAGUAAAAUUGAAAAUACGCUCCAAGAAAAACACAUAUCAUGUGACGAAUAAAAAUAUAGCUCCGAGUAAGGUAUACCGAUAGUUUUGAAGACGAAAGAGGGGAUGCCUUCCGGGGCAUCCCCAAGCUUAGGUGCUUGAGUCUUCCUUGAAUAAUACCUUGGGGUGCCUUGGGCAUCCCCAAGCUUAGGGUAUUUCCACUCCUUAUUCUCCUCAUAUCAAUAUCUCACCCAAAUCUUGAAAACUUCAAUCACACAAAACUUAACGGAACUUCGUGAGAUAGGUUAGUAUGAUAAAGAGUAAACCAUUCACUUUGGUACUGUAAAAGACAAGGUUCAUAAUUGUUCUCACACAUUGACUACUGUACCAUAUCAUUUCUACAAUUUAUAUUGAGAAAUAUAAGCCAUAGAAACUAGAAAACAAGCAAACUAUGCAAUCAAAACAGAAUCUAUCAGAAACAGAACAGUCUGUAAUGAUCUGAACAGAAACCAUACUUCUGCUACUCCAAAAAUUAUGAAAUAAACUUUUAAACGUGAGGAAUUUGUCUAUUAAUCUUCUGCAAAAAGAAUCAACUCAAAAUCACUCUUCUGUAAAAAAUGACACCUAAUCUCGUGAGCACAAAGUUUCUGUUUUUUACAGCAAGAUUACAUUAACUUUCAUCCAAGUCUUCCCAAAGGUCUUACUUGGCACUUUAUUGAAACAAAAGCUAUAAAACAUGAUUACUACAGUAGCUUAAUCAUGUAAACACACAAAAACAGUAAGGGUAAAUAUUGGGUUGUCUCCCAACAAGCGCUUUUCUUUAUUGCCUUUUAGCUAGGCAUGAUGAUUUCAAUGAUGCUCACAUAAAAGAUAAGAAUUGAAACGUAAAGAGAGCAUCAUGAAGAAUAUGACUAGCACAUUUAAACCUAACCCACUUCCUAUGCCUAGGGAUUUUAUGAGCACACAAUUUAUAGGAACAAGGAUCAACUAGCAUAGGAAGGCCAAACAAGUAUAACUUCGAAACUUUAAGCACAUAGAGAAGAAACUUGAUAUUAUUGCAACUCCUAAAAGCAUGUAUUCCUCCCUCAUAAUAAUUUUCAGUAGCAUCAUGAAUGAGUUCAACAAUAUAACCAUCAUGUAAAGCAUUCUUUUCAUGAUCUACAAGCAUAGAAAUUUUACUACUCUCCACAUAAGCAAAAUUCUUCUCAUUCAGAAUAGUGGGAGCAAACUCAACAAAAUAACUGUCAUGUGAGAGAUAAUCCAAUUGAAAAUUAAAAUCAUGAUGACAAGUUUAAUGGUAAACAUUAUUCUUUAUAGCAUACAUGUCAUCACAAUAAUCAUCAUAGAUAGCAACUUUGUUCUCAUAAUCAAUUGGAACCUCUUCCGAAAUAGUGGAAUCAUUACUAACUAAAGUCGACACUCUUCCAAAUCCACUUUAGAUGAUAGUAUUAUUCAUACUCCAAAAGAUAUAAGUGAAGUUCAUGGAGCAGUCUACAAUUAAUAUAGACUAACCAAUAUCCAAGCUCAAAAUAUAUAAGUGAAGCACACGAAGCAUUCUAUAAAAACAUACUCAGAAGAUUUAAGUGAAGCGCAAAGAGCAUUCUAUAAAAUCAUACUCAAAAGAUAUAAGUGAAGCACAUGAAUCAUUCUAUAAAUCUAUGAAGGGAUAUCUCAUACUAGCAUGGAAAAGGAAAAACACAAAGGACACAAAUCAUGUGAACAAAACAAGGUAUACCGAUAAUUGUUGAAGAAGAAAGAUGGGAUGCCAACCGGGGCAUCCCCAAGCUUAGAUGCUUGAGUAUCCUUGGAAUAUUUACUUGGGGUGCCUUGGUCAUCCCCAAGCUUGAACUCUUGCCUCUCUUUAUUCUUCUCACAUUGGUAACUCCUCGUUCUUCGAACACUUCAUCCACAAAAACUUAACAAAAACUUUGUGAGAUCCGUUAGUAUACUAGAGCAAAUCACUACCUUUAGGUACUGUUACAAACUCAUUCCAAUUGCAUAUUAGCACUUUAUCUACUGUAUUCCAACUUCACCAUGGUUCAUACCCCUGAUACUACCCAUAGAUUCAUCAAAAUAAGCGAUCAACACACAGCAAACAGAAUUUGUCAAAAACUGGAUAGUCUGUAGUAAUAUGGAAGUUUAAUAAACUUCUGUAAGUCCAAAAAAUUCUAAACAAAUAUGAAAAUUUAAAAAAUUUGUACAUAAGUAAUGUGCAAAAAGUUUCAGACCAUUUGACUUUCCAGUAAAAAAAUGUAAAUUCACGCGCUAUAGCCAAAGUUUCUGUUUUUGUACUGCACAUAGUAAACAAGCAAUCUAAUCAUCCUAAAACCAAAGCUUGGCACAUUAUUUUUAUAUAAUACAAUGGAUAUAUACAAGGGUAUAAUUAUUUUCAGAGAAGCUUCCAUGAAAAGUUUUACAUUGUUUCCAUCAGCAUGAACACAAGUGCUCAAGGUCGACCCUCACUUCUUCAAUGCAUAACCUUCCAAUCACUUCUCUUAUUGAAAAACUUUUUAGGCAUGAGAGGCAAGUAAUUUUUUUUAUUCUUUAAAAAAAAUUGUAUGUUUCACCCACAACUAAACAGAAACAAAAAGGAAAAACAAAAUCUACUUAGUGAAGAAAGCAAACAAGCACACACAAGAAUAUCAACCCCACGCUAUUGCUCACCGGCAACGGCGCCAUAAAAGAGCUUGAUAAUCCCCAAGUGCAGGGAAUCAUCGUAGCAAUUCCCAAAGGUAGAAGUGAUAAGUAUGGAGUGUCGAACCCACAAGGAGCUAAAGGUAAGAUCAAUAUUCUCUCAAGUCCUAUCUGCCACUGAUACAACUCUACGUACACCGAUCGUUUGCUUCCAACUAGAAACGAGAUAUAAAACUACGUUGUGGGUAUGAAGAGGAUAACUUUGCAUGAUAUCGGAGAGCUAAAAUAUAAAAGUAGGUGCUGUUAUCAUAAAGUUAGAAUAUAUUACUAAAUAUUAUAAAUAACGAGUGUGGAAUAAUGAUGGGUCGGUGUGCGGAAUUAUCCUAGGCAAUCGUUAACAAGACCGGUAGUCAUCAUUGCAAUUUCAUAUGAGGGAGAGGCAUAAGCUAACAUACUUUCUCUUCUUGGAUCAUAUGCACUUAUGAUUGGAACUCUAGCAAGCAUCCGCAACUACUAAAGAUCAUUAAGGAAAAACCCAACCAUAGCAUUAACAUAUCAAGUCCCCUUUAUCCCAUACGCAACAACCCCCUUACUCGGGUUUAUGCUUCUGUCACUCAAGCAACCCACUAUAAGCGAAUCAUGAACGUAUUACAACACCCUACAGCGGGAAUCCCUCACGCUUGCGCGACACGGAGGGCACAAUAGGACAGCACCAAAAUAAAACAUACAACUCAUACCAAUCUAGAUCAUCAAUCAUCCCAAAGACAAAGGAUAUCUACUCAAAACAUCAUAGGAUGGCAACACAUCAUUGGAUCAUAAUAUGUGGCAUAAAGCACCAUGUUCAAGUAGGGAUUACAGCGGGGUGCGGGAGAGUGGACCGUGUAAAAGAGAUGAGGAUGGUGAUGAUAAUGGUGAUGUUGAUGAAGACGAUCACCACGGCGAUGAUUCCCCUCCCAAUGGCACUCCGGCAUCACCGAGAGAGAGGAGGAGAGGUUCUCCCCCUUGUGAUUUCUCCUUCAUGGCCUCCCCUGGAUGGGGAGAGGUUCUCCCUCUGGAUCUUGGCCUUCAUGGAGAUGAUGGCCCCUCUGGGGUCCUCUCCAUGGCCUCCGGUGAUGAUGGCCCCCUCCGGCAGGGUGCCAGAGAGGGCCUAGAUUGAUUUCUCGUGGCUACAGAGGCUUGCGGCGGCGGAACUUCCGAUCUAGGUUAUUUUCUGGAGGUUUGGGUAUUUAUAGGAGAGGUUGGCGUCGAGAACAAGUUAGGGGGGCCCACGGGAAGUCCACGAGGCACAGGGGCGUGCCCUCCACCCUCGUGGGGCCCAUGGGACUCCCCUCCGGUAACUCUUCAUUCCAGUAUUUUUUAUAUUUUCCACAAAAAUUCUUCGUUGAUUUUCAUCGCAUUCCGAGAACUUUUAUUUCUGCACAAAAACCAACACAACGGUAGUUCUGCUAAAAACAGCAUCAGUCCGGGUUAGUUGUAAUCAAAUCAUACCAAAAUCAUAUAAAACUAUUGUAAACAUGGCAUGAAUACUUCAUAAAUUAUAGAUACGUUGGAGACGUAUCAACCUACGAGGUUCGGUAGUAACUUGAUCUGAAGUGUCAUAAUCAUCAUCAUUAGCUUCCUCACUAAUUGGUGUAGGCAUCACCUGAAUUAAUUUCUGUGAUGAACUACUUUCCAACUCGAGAGAAGGUACAAUUACCUCAUCAAGUUGUACUUUCCUCCCACUCACUUCUUUCAAGAGAAACUCCUUCUCUAGAAAGGAUACAUUCUUAGCAACGAAUAUCUUGCCUUCGGACCUGUGAUAGACGGUGUACCCAACAGUCUCCUUUGGGUAUCCUAUGAAGACACAUUUCUUCGAUUUGGGUUCGAGCUUAUCAGGUUGAAGCUUUUUCACAUAAGCAUCACAGCCCCAAACUUUAAGAAACAACAGCUUAGGUUUCUUGCCAAACCAUAGUUCAUACGGUGUCGCCUCAACGGAUUUAGAUGGUGCCCUAUUUAAUGUGAAUGCAGUUGUCUCUAAUGUAUAACCCCAAAACGAUAGCGGUAAUUCAGUAAGAGACAUCAUAGAUCGCACCAUAUCUAAUAAAGUACGGUCACGAUGUUCGGACACACCAUUACACUGUGGUGUUCCAGGUGGCGUGAGUUGCGAAACUAUUCCACAUUGUUUCAAAUGAAGACCAAACUCAUAACUCAAAUAUUCACUUCCACGAUCAGAUCGUAGAACUUUUAUUUUCAUGUUACGAUGAUUUUCUACUUCACUCUGAAAUUCUUUGAACUUUUCAAAUGUUCCACACUUAUGUUUCAUUAAGUAGAUAUACCUAUAUCUGCUCAAAUCAUCUGUGAAGGUCAGAAAAUAAUGAUACCCACCGCGAGCCUCAACACUCAUCGGACCGCAUACAUCAGUAUGUAUUAUUUCCAAUAAGUCAGUUGCUCGCUCCAUUGUUCCGGAGAACAGAGUCUUAGUCAUCUUGCCCAUGAGGCAUGGUUCGCAAGCAUCAAGUGAUUCCAAAAUCCCAUCAGCAUGGAGUUUCUUCAUGCGCUUUACACCAAUAUGACCUAAACGGCAGUGCCACAAAUAAGUUGCACUAUCAUUAUUAACUUUGCAUCUUUUGGCUUCAAUAUUAUGAAUAUGUGUAUCACUACGAUCGAGAUUCAGUAAACCAUUUACAUUGGGUGUAUGACCAUAGAAGGUUUUAUUCAUAUAAACAGAACAACAAUUAUUCUCUGACUUAAAUGAAUAACCGUAUCGCAAUAAACAUGAUCCAAUCAUAUUCAUGCUCAACGCAAACACAAAAUAACAUUUAUUUUAGGUUCAACACUAAUCCCGAAGGUAAAGGGAGUGUGCGAUGAUGAUCUUAUCAACCUUGGAAUUACUUCCAACACACAUUGUCACCUCGCCCUUAACUAGUCUGUGUUUAUUUUGCAACUACUGUUUUGAGUUACUACUCUUAGCAACUAAACCAGUAUCAAAUACCCAGGGGUUGCUAUAAACACUAGUAAAGUACACAUCAAUAACAUGUAUAUCAAAUAUACCUUUGUUCACUUUGCCAUCCUUCUUAUCCGCCAAGUAUUUGCGGCAGUUCUACUUCCAGUGACCAUUUCCUUUGCAGUAGAAGCACUCAAUUUUAGGCUUGGGUCUAGCUUUGGGCUUCUUCAUGGGAGUGGCAACUUGCUUGUCAUUCUUCUUGAAGUUCCCUUUCUUUCCCUUGCCCUUUUACUUGAAACUAGUGGUCUUGUCAACCAUCAACACUUGAUGCUUUUCUUGAUUUCUACCUUCGCCGAUUUCAGUAUCGCGAAGAGCUCGGGGAAUCUUUUUCGUCAUCCCUUGCAUAUUAUAGUUCAUCAUGAAGUUCUAGUAACAUGGUGAUAGUGACUAGAGAACUCUGUUAAUCACUAUCUUAUCUAGAAGAUUAACUCCCACUUGAUUCAAGCGAUUGUAGUACUCAGACAUUCUGUGCACAUGCUCACUGGUUGAGCUAUUCUCCUCCAUCUUGUAGGCAAAAUACUUGUCAGAGGUCUCAUACCUCUCGACUUGGGCAUGAGUCUGAAAUACCAAUUUCAACUCUUGGAACAUCUCAUAUGCUCCGUGUCGUUUCAAAACAUUUUUAAAGUCCUGGUUCUAAGCCGUAAAUCAUGGUGCACUAAACUAUCAAGUAGUCAUCAUACCAAGCGUGUCAAACGUUCAUAACGUCUGCAUCUGCUCAUGCAAUAGUUCUGUCACCUAGCGGUGCAUCAAGAACAUAAUUCUUCUAUGCAGUAAUGAGGAUAAUCCUUAGAUCACGGACCUAGUUCGCAUCAUUGCUACUAUCAUCUUUCAACUUAGUUUUCUCUAGGAACAUAUCAUAAAUAAAAUGGGGAAGCUAUACGCGAGCUAUUGAUCUACAACAUAGAUAUGCAAAUACUAUCAGGACUAAGUUCAUGAUAAAUUUAAGUUCAAUUAAUCAUAUUACUUAAGAACUCCCACUUAGAUAGACACCCCUCGAGUCAUCUAAAUGAUCACGUGAGCCAUAUCAACUAAACCAUGUCCGAUCAUCACGUGAGAUGGAGUAGUUUUCAAUGGUGAACGGCACUAUGUUGAUCAUAUCUACUAUAUGAUUCACGCUCGACCUUUCGGUCUCAGCGUUCCGAGGCUACAUCUGCAUAUGCUAGGCUCGUCAAGUUUAACCCGAGUAUUCUGCAUGCACAAAACCGGCUUGCACCCAUUGUAUGUGAACGUAGAGCUUAUCACACCCGAUCAUCAUGUGGUGUCUCAGGACGAAGAACUGUCGCAAUGGUGCAUACUUAGGGAGAACACUUAUACCUUGAAAUUUUAGUAAGGGAUCAUCUCAUAAUGCUACCGUCGUACUAAGCAAAAUAAGAUACACAAAAGAUAAACAUCACAUGCAAUCAAAAUAUGUGACAUGAUAUGGCCAUCAUCAUCUUAUGCUCAUGAUCUCCAUCAUAGAAGCAUCGUCAUGAUCUCCAUCGUCAUCGGCGCGACACCUUGAUCUCCAUCGUAGCAUCAUUAUCGUCUCGCCAACUAUUCCUUCUACGACUAUCGCUACCGCUUAGUGAUAAAGUAAAAACAAUUACAUGGCGAUUGCAUUGCACACAAUAAAGCGACAACCAUAUGGCUCCUGCCAGUUGCCGAUAACUCUGUUACAAAACAUGAUCAUCUCAUACAACAAUUUAUAUCACAUCAUGUCUUGACCAUAUCACAUCACAGCAAACCCUGCAAAAACAAGUUAGACGUCCUCUACUUUGUUAUUGCAAGUUUUUCGUGGCUGCUAUGGGCUUCUAGCAAGAACCGUUCUUACCUACGCAUCAAAACCACAAUGAUUUUUCGUCAAGUGUGAUGUUUUACCUUCAACAAGGACCGGGCGUAGUCAAACUCGAUUCAACUAAAUUUGGAGAAACAGACACCCACUAGCCACCUGUGUGCAAAGCAUGGCGGUAGAACCAGUCUCAUGAACGCGGUCAUGUAAUGUUGGUCUGGGCCGCUUCAUCCAACAAUACCACCGAAUCAAAGUAAGACGUUGCUGGUAAGCAGUAUGACUAUUAUCGCCCACAACUCUUUGUGUUCUACUCGUGCAUAUAACAACUACGCAUAGACCUGGCUCGGAUGCCACUGUUGGGGAACGUGGCAUUUCAAAAAAAUUGCCUACGAUCACGCAAGAUCUAUCUAGGAGAAGCAUAGCAAUGAGCGGGGAGAGUGUGUCCACGUACCCACGUAGACCGAAAGCGGAAGCGUUUACUAACGCGGUUGAUGUAGUCGAACGUCUUCGCGAUCCCACCAAUCCAAGUACCGAACGUACGGCACCUCCGCGAUCUGCACACGUUCAGCUCGGUGACAUCCCUCGAACUCUUGAUCCAGUUGAGGCCGAGGGAGAGUUCCGUCAGCACGACGGCGUGGUGACGGUGAUGAUGAAGUUACCGGCGCAGGGCUUCGCCUAAGCACUAUGACGAUAUGACUGAGGUGUGUAACUGUGGAGGGGGCACCGCACACAGCUAAAAGAUCAACUUAUGUGUUCUAGGGUGCCCCCGUAUAUAAAGGAGGGAGAGGGAGAGGUAGCCGGCCCUAGGGGGCGUGCCAAGGUGUGGAGUCCUACUAGGACUCCCUAGUCCUAGUAGGAUUCCACCUCCCACACGGAGUAGGAAAGGGGGAAGGGAGAAGGCGAAGGAAAGGGGGGCCGGCCCCCUUCUCCUAGUCCUAAUCGGCCUCCUGCCCAAGGGGUGUGCACUAGCCCCUUAAAUUAUGGGCUAGUGUGCUUCCCUCUUAUGGCCCAUAAGGCCCAUAACUUCUCCCGGGGGGUUCCGGUAACCUCCCGGCACUCCGGAAAAAUGUCCGAAUCACUUGGAACCAUUCUGAUGUCCAAAUGCAACCUUCUAAUAUAUGAAUCUUUACCUCGCAACCAUUUCGAGACUCCUCGUCAUGUCCGUGAUCUCAUCCGGGACUCCGAACAAACUUUGGUACAUCAAAUCACAUAACUCAUAAUACAAAUCGUCAUCGAGCGUUAAGUGUGCGGACCCUACGGGUUCGAUAACUAUGUAGACAUGACCGAGACACAUCUCCGGUCAAUAACCAAUAGCGGAACCUGGAUGCUCAUAUUGGCUCCUACAUAUUCUACAAAGAUCUUUAUCGGUCAAACCGCAUAACAACAUACGUUGUUCCCUUUGUCAUCGGUAUGUUACUUGCCCGAGAUUCGAUCGUCGGUAUCAUCAUACCUAGUGCAAUCUUGUUACCGGCAAGUCUCUUUAAUCAUUCUGUAAUGCAUCAUCCCGCAACUAACUCAUUAGUCACAUUGCUUGCAAGGCUUAUAGUGAUGUGCAUUACCGAGAGGGCCCAGACAUACCUCUCCGAUACUUGGAGUGACAAAUCCUAAUCUCGAUCUAUGCCAACCCAACAAACACCUUUGGAGACACCUGUAGAGCAUAUUUAUAAUCACCCAGUUACGUUGUGAUGUUUGAUAGCACAAAAGGUGUUCCUCCGGUAUUCGGGAGUUGCAUAAUCUCAUAGUCAGAGGAACAUGUAUAAGUCAUGAAGAAAGCAAUAGCAAUAAAACUCAAUGAUCAUAAUGCUAAGCUAACGGAUGGGUCUUGUCCAUCACAUCAUUCUCUAAUGAUGUGAUCCCAUUCAUCAAAUGACAACACAUGUCUAUGGUCAGGAAACAUAACCAUCUUUGAUUAACGAGCUAGUCAAGUAGAGGCAUACUAGGGACACUCUGUUUUGUCUAUGUAUUCACACACAUAUUAAGUUUCCGGUUAAUACAAUUCUAGCAUGGAUAAUAAACAUUUAUCAUGAUAUAAGGAAAUACAAAUAACAACUUUAUUAUUGCCUGUAGGGCAUAUUUCCUUCAGAAUCUGUCUUAAACAGGACAGUCUGUAGCAAUCUGAACAUCAACCAUACUUUUGUAACUCCAACAAUUCUGAAAAAUUAGGACAAAAUAAAAAAUGUAUAGCAAUACUGUGCAAAAAGUUUCAGAAACGUUUGACGUUCCAGUAAAAAAUGAAAAUUCACGCGCUACAGCCAAAGUUUCUGUUCCUGCACCGCACAUACCAACAAGCAAUCUAAUCAUCUUAAAGGCAAAUCAUGGCACAUUAUUUUUGUAAUACAAUGGAUUUGUACAAGGGGAUAAUUAUUUUUGUGAGAAUCUUCGUGAAAAUUCUACAUUGUUUCCAUCUGAGCAUGAACACAAGUGUUCAAGGUCGACCCUCACUUCACCAAUGCAUCACUUUUCAAUCCUUCUCUUUUUGUGAAGUUUUAAGUUCCCCUCUAUAUUUUUUUGUUUUUAAACUUUAUAAAAGCACUCAACAGAAAUAAAUGACUCUCUGAAACUUCCGGUUGUCUCCCUGGCGGCUCUUUCUUUAAAGCCAUUAAGCUAGGCAUAAAGUGCUCAAGUAAUGGAUCCACCCGGAUCCCAAGGUAUAUCAAAGCCAAUUUUAAUUAGCAAUGAUUUGGCAUUUAGUAGUGAAACAAAGCAACAUAAAUCAUGCAAUGACGAAGUCUAACUCUCUUCCUAUGCAUCGGCAUGUCAUACAAGAACAAUUCAUGCACAUCAAGUAAAGGUCAAUACAUAGCAUAAGUAGUUCCUUGCAAUUUUAUCGUGUUGGAAACAUAGAGAGGUGGAGAUGUAGUUCCUCUCUCAUAAUAAUUGCAAGUAGGAGCAGCAAGCACAUGCAUAUUACAUUCAUCAAAAUUAUCAUGUGCAAUGGUAAAAGGCAACCCAUCAAUAUAAUCCUUAAUAAGAACAAACUUCUCCGAUAUAGUGUAGUUUGCAGAAUUCAAAAAGGUAAUAGGACUAUCAUGUGUGGGUGCAAUAGCAACAAUUUCAUUCUUAACAUAAGGAACUAUAGCAAGUUCAUCUCCAUAAGCAUAAUUCAUAUUGGCAUCUUGGCCACAAGCAACGGGAUCAUAGCAAUUAUCAUAGCAUUCAUCCUUCGGUAAGAACGAAUGGACAUUAAACAAUGUAUGAGUUGGAGGUUUACUCUCAUUAGAAGGUGGGAACGGGUAGCUAAUCCGCUCCUCCUCCUUUUGUUCUUCGCUCUCCUCAUCAUCUCUUUCAUCCAAUGAGCUCACAGUUUCAUCAAUUUCUACUUCCAUAGACUCCUGCAAAAUGUUAAUCUCUUCUUGGACAGCGGAGGAGUCCUCAAUAUAUGGUUUAACAUAGGCAUUAGAAGCAUAAUUAUCAUAGCAAUAUUUAAGUAUGGCAAAAUUUCCAGAUUUGUAAAGAGUAGCAUCAUACGUUUCAAUCAAAGAAGCAAUUUCAUAAGCACCCUUAAAAGCGACAAAUUCUUCAAUUUGUUGAACAUCAUAGUAAUUAUAAACACCCUUAGCAUAUGAAGAUACGAUUCCAUUAUCACUAAACUCACAUUGGUAGGGAAGGUGUUUCUUAGGGUCUUCAGAACAACAAGUAAAAUCAUAUAUUUCACAUAAAUUCCAAGCAUAGCAUUGCAAACGUGAAUUUGAUCUAGUAAAAGUUUCCCUUUUUGAGAUAAGCGGUGUGGCACAUAACAAGCAUGCUCAUCUAAAGAUUUGCCCUCAGCUAAGCUAGUUGGGGUUUCAGCACGAGCACAUAAGGACCGAAGAUGAUCCAAGUAAAAAGCUUCAGCAGUAUGAUAGAUUUUGGGUGGUUCUUCAACCAUUGGUUGAGCAGGUACAACUAAUUUUUUCUGGUAUUUUGCAUUCCCUACCCAUAACUAAAGAUAGAAAACAAGAGCACAAAAUAAAAAUUAAUUAGUGGUAACGCAAACAAGCACAUACGAGAAUAUUCACCCCACGCUAUUGCUCCCCGGCAACGGCGCCAGAAAAAGGGUCUUGAUAACCCACAAGUAUAGGGGAUCAGUUGUAGCCUUUCUCGAUUAAUAAGAGUGUCGAACCCAACGAGGAGCUAAAGGUAGAACACAUAUUCCCUCAAGUUCUAUCGACCACCGAUACAACUCUACGCACGCUUAACGUUCACUUUACCUAGAACAAGUAUGAGACUAGAAGUACUUUGUAGGUGUUGUAGGAUAGGUUUGCAAUAUAAUAAAGAGCACGUAAAUAAAAACUAGGGGAUGUUUAGAUAAAGACACAACUAAGUUAGUUUUAGUAGAGAGCUUUUUGUCACGAGAAAGUUAUUUGUCCCUAGGCAAUCGAUAACUAGACCGGUAAUCAUUAUUGUAAUUUUAUAUGAAGGUGAGGCACAAGCUAACAUACUUUCUCUUCUUGGAUCAUAUGCACUUAUGGUUGGAACUCUAGCAAGCAUCCGCAAGUACUAAAGAUUAUUAAGGUAAAACCCAACCAUAGCAUUAAAGUAUCAAGUCCUCUUUAUUCCCAUACGCAAACAACCUACUUACUCGGGUCUGUGCUUCUAUCACUCACACCACCCACCAUAAGCAAAUCAUGAACAUAUUGCAAACCCUACAACGGGGAUCCCUCACGCUUGCGCGACACGGAGAGCACCAUAGGACAUCACCAAUAAUAAAACAUGCAACUCAAACCAAUCACGGUCAUCAAUCAACCCAUAGGACAAAAUGGAUCUACUCAAACAUCAUAGGAUAGCCAUACAUCAUUGGGAAAUAAUAUAUAGUGUUGAGCAUCAUGUUCAAGUAGAGAUUACAAUGGGGAGAAGGGGUGUUACACCGCUGCAUAGAGGGGGAGAGAGUUGGUGAUGACAGCGGCGAAGUUGUUGAUGUAGAUUGUCGUUGCGAUGAUGGCCCCGGUGGCGCUCCGGCGCCGCUGGGAGAGAGGGGGAGAGAGCCCCCCUUCUUCUUCUUCCUUGACCUUCCCCCUAGAUGGGAGAAGGGUUUCCCCUCUGGUCCUUGGCUUCCGUGGCGGCGGAGGGGCGAGAGCCCCUCCGAGAUUGGAUCUCUCUCUCUGUUUCCUUCUGUUUCUGCGCUCCCAGAUUCUGGCCUUUCACUAUUUCUUAAAUUCCGGGAGAUCCGUAACUCUGAUUGGGCUGAAAUUUUAACACGAUUUUUAUCCGGAUAUUAGCUUUAUUGCGCCAGAAGAAGGGCACCAACCGCCUUAUGGAGUGGCCACAAGGGCCCAGGGCGCGCCCUCCGUCCUUGUGGGCCCCUCGGGCAUCGUCUCGCGUUGAUUCCACUUCCCAAAAUUCACUUAUAUUCCAAAAAAACUCCAUAAGUUUUUAUCCCGUUUGGACUCCGUUUGAUAUGGAUUUUCUGCGAAACAAAAAACAUGCAACAAACAGGAAAUGGCAGUGGGCACUGGAUCAAUAUGUUAGUCCAAGAAAAUCAUAUAAACUGUUGCCAAAAGUAUGUAAAAGUUGUAGGAUAUUGCCAUGGAACAAUAAAAAAUUAUAGAUACGACAGAGACAUAGCAGCAGCACUCCUCCUUGACUACGCGGCGAGGUGACACGAGUAGUGCUCCACCUUCACGACGCGCCGGCGAGAGCCGCUCCUCCUUCACGGCGCGCCGAGGUGGCAGUGAGAGCCACUCUUCCUUGACGCGGUGUCCGAUUUGGACACCGCGGCUGCGCGGCGGCGGAUAGCAUGGAGGGGAUGCCGGUUCCAUCUUCACGGGGAGGAGCGCCCCUAGUGGCGGAGCCGGGCCGUUGGUGUGGACGACGAAGCGACGAAGCAUCAUCUCCGUCUUCUCCUCGAACUCCGCGGCAGUGCCGGCGUAGACCUGGACAGGCACCGUUGGCGCGGACUGUGGCAGUGGUGGCUGCUGGUCCUUCUCGUCGCCGGAGGAGAUGACGAUCUCCUCCCGCGUCGGGUCGCCGCCAGCCGACGAGGACGACGGCCCCGGAGUCCGAGGGCGAAGUCUCCACGAGCCGCUAGAUCGCACCCCAGAACCGCCUGCCGGUGCCGACUCCCAGGACUUGCCCAUCGCCGGAGAUGUGGAGGGGGAGUAUGGCGAGGAGGAGGAGGAGGAAGGAGGAUGAUACGAUGUGGACGGCGCCGGAGCGCGGCUUAAAUAGCCGCGGCCAGGCCAUGCGAAGGGCCGGUCAGCCGCUUCAAUGCGGCGCAGCGGCCGGAGUUGGUUCCUCGGGAACCUGCGUCCGCAUUGAAGCGGCGGCUGCCGAGAGGUCGCGUCGGUCAGCGCCGCCCUCCCGCCCUCCGGUCACAUCGUGGCAUCAAUGCUGGCCUCCGUGUGCUCUAGGCCGGCAUGCGGCGCGGUAUGCAGCGCGUGCAUCAAAAGGAAAACGCGGGAGGGGCGGGUGACGAAUUUUUGGUGUGCCAGGGGCCAGAAGUGUACUUGGGAGCGGUCCAGACUCCCGCAAACCUCCCUCACUUUUGUCUUCGGUUUGCGGGAGAAAUCGCGUUCGGACCACCCCGCGGACCGAUACAGGUCGAUGUUGGAUGGAUUUCGCGGUUCAGACAGCGCAAUCCAAAUGGUUGCGGGAGGCUUACGGAUCUGCGUGAAGAUGCCCUUAAAGCCCUACGAGCAUGGACGUCCUUUUUACCAUUUAGGAAACCUUACCUAGCAAGAGGACGUGCCUCCUAUGGAUUGGGUUUACUAUGUUGGCUUGGCUCUUGGGACUAUCUGCAAUAAGAUUUAUUAUCGAGGGUAUUCAUGUCAUGACUCACUUUCGUCUAUGUUGCUUUGGUUCAGCAAUAGUGGUCACUCUCUAGAGGCAGGGAUGGCGAAGCACUUGAUGCCCUCCUCCUUGGCUGCUUGAGGUAGCCAGUCAUCUUACUUCGCCUAUGACGUAGCAUUCUUGCCUUGGCAGAUUUUGUUUUUGUUUUCUUUGUUCCCUUUGGGCUUACUCACUGUUGAGCUUAACAUCUACUACCUCCGUAACAAGAUAUAAGAUGUUUUUUUUUGUUUAAUUUGGUUACAAAGGUACUCAUCUACUACCACAUUUUGGUGUCAUUGUUAAUUAAACUCAUUGCUUUAUCUGUAAAGCAAGUCCAAAACCCUAUUUUCUAACCUAUAUACUGUUGAAAAAUAAAAGUUAGAAAAGGUCUGUCGCCAAACAACCAAAUUUGCAUAGCAUAUCAUUUGAGUGCAUAAUAUCAUCAGUUCAGCACACUCAUUUUAUGGCUUGUGGUUGAUGAACUAUAGAGCCCACGUACAUUUAACAUUGAUGAUCAUUUAAGCUCGUGUGGAUCACAACCAUUGAAAUGACCAAUAAUCAAACCCUAUCUUGUCCCCUUUCCCACUGCAUAGUCUCGUACCUCAGCAUAACUAUAGUCAUUAAAUUAAUACCGCAAAGAAUAUGUCACGUGUUUAUUUUUGCGCCCUAGUCGAUUCUCAAACCGUACAUUUUGUUACNNNNNNNNNNNNNNNNNNNNNNNNNNNNNNNNNNNNNNNNNNNNNNNNNNNNNNNNNNNNNNNNNNNNNNNNNNNNNNNNNNNNNNNNNNNNNNNNNNNNNNNNNNNNNNNNNNNNNNNNNNNNNNNNNNNNNNNNNNNNNNNNNNNNNNNNNNNNNNNNNNNNNNNNNNNNNNNNNNNNNNNNNNNNNNNNNNNNNNNNNNNNNNNNNNNNNNNNNNNNNNNNNNNNNNNNNNNNNNNNNNNNNNNNNNNNNNNNNNNNNNNNNNNNNNNNNNNNNNNNNNNNNNNNNNNNNNNNNNNNNNNNNNNNNNNNNNNNNNNNNNNNNNNNNNNNNNNNNNNNNNNNNNNNNNNNNNNNNNNNNNNNNNNNNNNNNNNNNNNNNNNNNNNNNNNNNNNNNNNNNNNNNNNNNNNNNNNNNNNNNNNNNNNNNNNNNNNNNNNNNNNNNNNNNNNNNNNNNNNNNNNNNNNNNNNNNNNNNNNNNNNNNNNNNNNNNNNNNNNNNNNNNNNNNNNNNNNNNNNNNNNNNNNNGGCACCGGCACUCGGGCCGCCUGUCAAUGAAAUAGACAACUAGAGAACUCCCCGUCGCAUCCUUGCCCCCUCCGCCCGUGCUUGAUCUAUCGGGGUGAAUCCCGACCUCGUCGGCGACUAUGUGGCGAUGGUGGUUAGCGAUGGUCUCGACUCUGUGGAGUUGGUGGUCAGGGGUGGUCUCGGCCAUGUGGCAACGGCGUCGUCUCCGUUGGCGAAACGAUGAAGAGAUGGGUAUCGCCGAUUCCUCCCUUAUUUACAUUCUUUUCACCAGCAUAAGCGGGAUUUCGUCACCAUUUUUGUCCUCACUCAUCACGGCCAAUACGCUCUUUUCAUCACGCGCGUGUCCAUCGGACAAUAGUUGCAGCAGAUGGCCCGAAGGGAUUUCUCUCCCGCUUUGUUUCUCCCGAGAAAGAUCUGUUUUCCAUGAAGAAAAUAAUUUUUUUUGCGGGGACCAUGAAGAAAAUAUUUGCUAAUCGAUGUGCCCAUCUAUUACUUGAGUAAUUAUUAAUUAUCUUGGCUGGAUUUUCCCUGUGCAUGCAUCCUCGUUGUUCUUGCUCUGGUGGUUAGCGAUGGUCUUGACUCUAUGGAGUUGGUGGUCAGGGGUGGUCUCGGCCAUGUGGCAACGGCGUCGUCUCCGUUGGCGAAACGAUGAAGAGAUGGGUAUCGCCGAUUCCUCCCUUAUUUACAUUCUUUUCACCAGCAUAAGCGGGAUUUCGUCACCAUUUUUGUCCUCGCUCAUCAUGGCCAAUACGCUAUUUCAACAUGCGCGUGUCCAUCGGACAACAGUUGCAGCAGACGGCCCGAAGGGAUUUCUCUCCCGCUUUCUUUCUCCGGAGAAAGAUCUGUUUUCCAUGAAGAAAAUAUUUUUUUUUUGCGGGGACCAUGAAGAGAAUAUUUGCUAAUCGAUGUGCCCAUCUAUUACUUGAGUCAUUAUUAAUUAUCUUGGNNNNNNNNNNCCCCUCCAAUUAAUCGCUGCCCCAAAAUCAAACCUUUGCCAGAAAAUUAACACGGAAGAUUUUCUUCCAGGGAAAGAGAUUUGUCUUCCAGGAAGAAUACUUCGUUGAUAAGCAUCGACGCACAUCUACUACUGGUACUUCAGUUAUCAUUAUUAAUUAUCUUUGCUGGAUUUUCUUGUGCAUCCUAGCUGUUCUUGCUUGCCCCCAAUUAAUCACUGCCUCCGAACCUUUGCGAGAGAAUUAAUGCGGAGCCAAAGCAUGGCCUGCUGUGCAGAUCGCUCCCGAUCUACGUCAAGCACGAGGAAAUCUUUCUUCAUGCGGAAAAAAGGCUAGGGCUGUAGGGGUGGGGCGCAGCCAGUCAGAGGAGUGAUGAGCGAGGGAGACUUUUUUGACUAUAUAAGAGCGCUAGCCAAUCGCCGCGGCCCCCUGCCCAUCCCGCGCCCGCUGUCAAAUCCUCCGCCUCGCUCCUCCCGCCCACUCCACAGCGCCGCCCGCCCGCCCGCCCUGUCCCGUCAACCAACCGCUCCGCCGUCGCAUGACAUCGCCGUCCAGGUAGCCGCCGCUCGUGCCGGUUUCGAUCGAUGGGGAUGCGGGGGCGGCCCCGCCGCGGCUCGAGAGGGAUAACGUCGUCGCCACCACCUGGGUUCGGCCCCGCCGCGGCCGCCGCGCGGCCGUCCUCCGCCCGUUCCGCAGGUCCGCUCGCCCCCUUCUCCUUCUCUCGCUUCCGGCCGUCGUCGGGCUCGCGUUCAUUGCUCCGAUCGAAUCCUUUUUCUCCUUCCCGAUUCAUCCAACUCCAAACCCCUGUCGCGUGAACCGCCGCGCCGGCGCUAGGCACGGAUUCAGUGCGCGUGACCUAAUUACUGCCUUCCUUUUCUCGGUUCCUAGGAUGCGCGUAAGCUCUUCUCAACAUUUCCGUUUCUUUUUGCGUAAUGUAUGGUAGUAGUUCGUGUUUCAAAGUUGGCACCCGACCGCGAUUCGAUGCGUCAAAGAUUCAGAGUUGCCUUCCCGUGAUGCCAUGAUCCACCCGCUGGGGAUCGAUAGCUGGGGUUUUGAAAACUGAAUUGUGCUGCUCUACCUACCCCUUUUACUGUUCCUCAAGUAUGUACUGUAAUUCCUAGGCAGGUAGUAAUAACUUGUUUCUGAAUAAUGGUAAAAUAUGACUGGCCCUGACCUGCCUGGCCCUGACCUGUCUGAAUAAUGGUAAAAUGUAAUUAUGUCAUUAUUCAGUUCAUCUGGACAGAAUGUUGCCUGAAAUAAUUAUGAUGAAACAAUGCUUUCAGCUUCAUUCUACUCACCGCUUUGAUGCUUGUAGGUACCAACUCUGCUGCUCGUACCGGCAUGCUGUUCAACGUAGAAAUACAACCUGGCUACGCUGAUCCUGAGUCUCUGCGACAUGUUUGGGUACGUACUUUGUGCAUUCCUUUCUCCUUUGAGAUAAAUAUGUUCAGUUUUCGACGUGCCCUGAUCCUUAUGGAUCCGUGCACUAUUAUUUAUGCAUAGAGAUAAAACACAGUUUCAUGCUAACGAAAGUGCUGGAUUGGCAACCAUUUAAUAGAAUCGAUUGUUUACUCCUUGAUGAAUUACAUAUAUACAUUGUGAUUCAACAUUCUGACUGAUAUCCUUUUGUUAUUACAGAAUAGAAGUGCUUCCCCUAUGAAAGGCCGGAAGAGGAAAUUCGGUGUUGAUGCAACCAAAGGUGAAUCACCAGGUAUUAAUGCAAGUAACACCGGGGAGCACCUGCGUUCCUGCAGAAAAGGCAAGGGUCCAGGGAAACGUGCCAGGUUGGUAGACAAAGAAGGUGCUACUGGGUUGGGAAGAGUUCAAACACCAACCGGCUUAUACGAAGAUGAAUGUGCUUUCUGCCAAUCAUUUAGAACCAGUGAGCCGGUAUGUUGCAUAUCAUUUACAUACAUCAAGUAAAAAUUGAUCUGCUGAAGUCUUCUUAUUUGUACUGGCACUAAAACAUGUUCACUCUUCCUAUGUCAGGUGCAUGGUCCGCUGGUACUGUAUCACAAUGGAAGGAUUGUGUCCAGUGACGAGGCCGACGCUACUAACGCCAUAUAUGUCCACUUCAAAUGCAUGGUUUGGUAAGUUUCUUUAUACACCAUGUUUAAUUCUUCAUAUUUAAUUUAUUUAGAAUCAUCAUACACAGUGUUCAUCCAUCCUUUUCAUUCUUUACCCAUGUUCCUGAAGGGCCCCAAAAGUGAAAUCCAACGACGACGGUACUUUUGAGAACGUCGAGAGUGAAAUCGAGCGUGGUUCAAGAUGGGAUUGCAGCAGAUGCAAUCUCCGGGGAGCAGCACUUGGUUGUUAUCGCGCGGGGUGCCCCAAUACUUAUCAUGUCCCAUGUGCAUUCAUGAUACCAGAAUGCCGCUGGGAUGUUGUAAGCUUUUGAGUAUACCUUGUCCUUGAUCCAUUUAUAAACACUGAUGUUCUGACAUGUCUAGUUUUGAUUUUGAAGGAGAAUCUCCAUGUUUGGUGUCCCAUGCAUGCACCACCUGAUGAGAUGAGCUCACCAACAAUUGAGACUGGCAUUCUUUCCCCCGACCCUCAAAAGUACGUGAUCUUUCUUUCAUGUAACUUGAUUAAUCCUUCAUUUUCUAAUCCAGUGUUAUAUUUGGUCAUUUCAGCCAAAGUCCAGCUAACGAAAUUUCUGCCGAUUGCCAAAUGGAAGAUAACCAAAUUAAUCCAUUGCUGGGCAAUGAGAUGAGCUCACCAAUAAUUGGAAGUGACAUUCCUUCCACUGUCCUUCAGAAGUAUGUGAUUUUUCUUCAACCUUCAUGUUACUUGAUUAAUCCUUCAUUUUAUAAUUCACUGUUGUAUGUACUCAUUCCAGCAGUUGCCCAGCUAAAGAAAUUUCCGUCGAUUGCCAAAUGGAAGAUAAACAAUUUAAUCCACUCGUCACAUCAAAUUCUCCUUUGCCUGGACUAGUGCCUGGGUAUGCCAUCUUUCUUCACCCGCCUUGGAGAGGGUUCCGUUCGUUUGGUUAAUCAUUAAUAUUUCAUUUUUUGUUGUUGAUUUUUUUGUAUUUUGUAGUUCCAGCCAAUAUUUAAUUAAAGAAGGAAUAUCUGCCCUUCAUAGAGGGGAAGAUCUACAAGUAGAUCAGCUGAACACCUCAAGUUCUUCCUCGCCUCAGGGGUAUGCGUGGCGGAGGUUACUGAUCAGAUGUUCAAUCAUCAUUCAUUAAUAUUCUUCUAUAAUUUGCUCUUUAUUUCAUCAUUGCAGCCAAUGUACGGACAAAGAAGGAAUUUCUACCAAUUACCGAGCAGAAGACAAACUAGCAAACCAGUCUAGUACCCCUUUGGAUCAGUGGGUUUUGCUCGGCAUAGCUUUAAGUGCAUCAGAAAAGGUAGCGUGGACUAUACUAGCAAACAAUACUCUCCUUUCAGAGCAUUUGGAUAUAUCUGAACAAUACUAGCAAACAUGUGAAUGGACAAGUAAUGCAGCAAUCCAACUUUAUGGUGAAAUUUAAACUAUAUAUAAUUUGCCUGUUUUCGAAUUAAGUUAUGUUCCAUACUAAGCUGUGAUACAAUUGUUUACGUUUGUCAAGCAGGAUUCCUUGAAAGAAUUUGCAUCCUUGACCAGUUCAACCUUGGCUCAGGAAUGGGACAAAACUGUGACUCAUGUUAUUGUGGGCAGAAACGCUGGUUCUCGAUGUGGCAGAUCAUAUGAGGUCCAGAUGGCUAUACUGUCUGGGAAAUGGGUUGUCGCAGCCGGAUGUUAGUAUUAGCCCAUCUUACAUCUCCCGUGUUUGUACUAUUGAUGAUAAUUGUACUACUUCCGAGUUCAUGUUACAUUCUGCUUAAUGUAACAAGCUGCUGGUCUAUUUGCACUUCCAUUUAUCCGUGUGUCAUCUAAAACUUAUCCUAGCUCGGCAGAGAAUAUUAUUAUCCCUGCACUAAAGCAGUUCAUGUCAUAUUCCUGUCUUAGGGGUUGUGGAUUGCUUGGUGGAAAGGAUUUCAGGUCCAAAGCCUUGCUUGGCAAAGCUGAUUCCAAGCCCGGAAAUUUCUUAUGAGGUGAAAUUCUACGAUGGUGCACGCACAUCAAUUGAUGGACCAGCGAAAGGAAGAGCUGGAGCUGCUGAAGGGGUAUGUAUACAUGUCUAGCAAUAAUAUAUUCUCUACGAAUUCUAAAUAGUAAAUAGAGAAAAACACAUGUGAUAAAAACUGAUUGCAGUUUGUCUUAUGCGUAAGUUCAGGGAAUUGGCUUACAAUUCUUUUGUGAAAAAGUUUCCUACUUCGAACAAGUUUAAAAUUCUAUCGAAAUGUUCAUACAGAGACUGUUUGAUGUCAAAGGCUUAAAGUGCAUCUUUAGAGAAAUCUAGGUGUCGUGUGGUCAGGGUAUUCCAAGUAUUUUUUUACAAGUUGGGGUGCUAGACAUAUUUCCAUAUUUUUAUCGCAUCCACAUUCAACAAAGCAAUUAUCUUUUGCAGCAGUAGUUUACAAUUCUCUUUCGAAGUGACAUUUCCCGAAAUGCGGUGUUUUGGAGUGCCAUACACCGUAGUGUGUUUAUUUUAUGAUGCACUUCAAUGGUCUAAAAUGAGUGCAUUUCAAUUAUUGUCUAAUAAAAGCACUAUUGGGAAUGCCUUUCAACAGCCAAAUGACGAGAAAAUGAUGUUUUGCAGGCACGAAAACUGCUCUCAGGACUGCAUUUCUGCUUCAGCGCAUACAUGCACCCAGAAGACAGAGAGGACAUCCAGAAUCUCAUAGCAGCUGGUGGAGGGCAAGUACUGGAGGGAAUCAGCCCAGACGGGUUACGUGAGAAUCUGAAAAGAAAUCCAGCAGAGGUGUACUUCAUCUACCACGGCGGCCCUCCAAGGACGCCCACUUCGGAUUUCGAUCUUGAGGUGCAGGAGUGCAACAAGUACGUGGGAUCGGGAGCGCGGAUGAUCAGACACCUGCAGCUGUUCGAUGCUAUCCUGUGCUACGAUGUACUAUUCCUAAAACCGACCGGUGUCUUCACCAAGAUAUGCAAGUGAAGGGCGUGCUUCGGGUGGUGGCUUUUUGCUCGCGUUACGACAACUCUUUUGGUUUAGCCCCCCACACGAGGUGUGAGGGGGGCUGUUGAAAGUUGACAAAUCACAUACUCUACUCACCCAAUAGGCUACAGGGUGAUGUCGUCGUCGUCGUCGUUGUUGUUUUGGUGCCGGAUUGCUUGUUUACUGGCCCCAUUGGAAGUUGACAAAUCACAUACUCUGCUCACCCAAUAGGCUAUAGGGUGAUGCCGUUGUUGUUGUUUUUGUGCUGGAUUGCUUGUUUACUGGCCUCUUCUAGUGCUUGUGUCAGACGGUU
rnacentral:lncRNA from 1 species